AGAAAGCUUUCUUGGAUAAUUAUUAUAUUUUUCAACAUUUUUGUUGAAAAUUGUCAUUUUAUAACUGUAAAUUUUUGCUGUGAUAUCCAGUGGCUAAGAUGCCUGGCCAUUAAGACUCAUAGACAUAUAAGGGAAAUUGUAAGGAACUCAAAAUCAAGCUUAACUAUGGAAAAAUUAACCAAGACCCGAGCAAAGUAUGUUUCUGUAUUUCGAUGAAGCAGUUAAAAUUUAGUAUCUGCUGCUUCAGAUCUUUUUCUACAAAACCAUCAUGCUUAUUGUAAGAUUUCUCCCACCCCUCUCACUGUUUGAGAAAAAACUUCUGUCUACAAUGGAACUACUGAAUCUAGUGAAGGUGGAGUGUACAUUAGUUAACUGCAGCUCAAGUCUUCAAAAUAUGCAUGUGGUGGUGAUAUUUCACGCCACUAAGUUAACGUUUCUCUUCUCUUACUCAAGUGCUUGUUGACCUUCAAAGUCACCAAAUACAGAAAACCAAUAAUGACUCCAUUCCGGUGAACAGUAAUGAAAGUUAACAAUCUGGAAAUAUCCAUUUUGUCCAAAAACAAUGACAGUUCAAUCAAUAAUAUAGAACAUCAAAUUUUAUAUAUGAUUUAAUUGUUUAGUAAUUAGUAAAUGCUUUAAUGCCUUAGUGACAAGUGUUAAGCAAGAAUUAGUAAAUGCUUCAUUGUUAUAUUUCAUAACGACAAUAAUAUUUUCAUUCCAGCUAUAGAAUAGAGAAUGUGAAUAUCAGAAAAUAUUAAAUCCUUUGUCAUGUCCACCGCACUACCUUUAAAUUCAGAUGUUUCUAGAUGUGAUUUAUGGUGCGCCUCUAUCUGUUUAAAGAACACUAGUUAAUGAGACAGGAUAGAAAAGAGAUAGCUUUCAUAAAAGUCAAAGGAAAAUUAUAUAAAGUUUGGGAGGUGGUGAUCGUGUAUAAAGAAAUAAAGUUUGAGACUAACAUUAGCAUGCCUGUGAACUUACACUAUUACGAAGUCUUACUCUGGUGUUAUCACCUUUGCUUUUCUGUUGACAUAGUCCAGGUACCCCUAGAAAUUACCAAAGCAUAAGUUAGAUCUAUUUAACCAAAUUAAUUAGAUCCACACACAGUCUAGAAUGUAAAAAAUUAUGUUUUCAAUAGUUCACAAUAAAUUUCAGUCCCUUGCAGAUAAACUUAAGAAAAAUAAGUUUUUGACGGGAUCCUGCCAACAAUUUUCCAUUCAAAUUCAAUUAAGUUUAUCUCCAAACAUAGCCAUAAAUAUGCAGACAGAAAACACCCGUGUAGAAUAUAAAAUGAAUAGCCAUGUAGUUGAGGUUGUAGCCAAAUGAUUGUAGUCAUGGAAGUGAGUUACUAUUUCAUAACAUAUACUUCAGGGCUUUUCAUUGGCAUAUCAAUUCCUCAUAAUGAUUUCUUAAAAACUAUAUAAAAAAAUUACUACUUGAAGGGAAAAAAUUGUGCAGACAUCAUAUAAAGAAUUCACAUGUUAAAUAUAUUCUUACUAUGAUAUCAGCAGAAUUGAGAUUGUCAAGAGUGAAGACAAUGCCUUGUACGUGAUAAGUACAAUCGUAGAAUACUAGAUUAAGUAAAGGAGCGGAUCAAAGGGUUCAACCCCUGACAACAACUUUUCUUCGUAUUUUCUUAUAAUGUACUAAUGUAAACAAGUAACUGAUACUUAUAAAUCAAUAACUUUAAAAAAAAUAAAAAAGGAGUGGAUCAAAGAACUUACUUGAAGUAUUCCUACAGCAGCAAACUUGUCUAGCAUGGUUUUGGAAUGCACUGGAUGUUUCAAGUUCAAAGGCUUUAACAACAACUCUACAUUCUGCAAAUACAAUUUAACUUCAGAUUUUGUCUAAUUUUAAGACAAUUAGUGUUCUCUUUAAAUAUACAAUACUUGUUAGUUGUUCACACUAUGUAAAUAUUUAAUUAUUUCUAUAGUAGUAGUUACCAACCAAUAAGAGGUUACAGUCACGUUGGGAAUAUUCAAAUAUCUGACUUAAAGUGAAUUUAAAUUCUUAAAUUUUCGGAAUAGGAAGUCUAUAAAUCCACCUUUGACGUGAAACACUCAUUCCAGAAUGUAUAUUCUACAUCUUCAAGCAUGUUUGUUCUACGGAGGUUAUCAAUGAAGACCUUCAUUUGCACAGCCUAAUAAAAUGAAGAAUAAGUGAAUCAGUAUAGAAAACAGUAGUAGUAAAUGGUACGGGGAUGGUCAAAGAAAUGAAACAUACAUCAGAAGACACCAGAUGUCUGUCAAAAGGGAGGCCAAUAACAAAGCCUUUCAAGGAAUAUUUAGAGAUCUGCAUGAAAACAGAUGGACUUGUCAUAGCAUAGCUUGGGAUUAUUAGGGCUUGAAUAGCUAAGAGUUGUACCAAUAAAUGAUAAAUAGUUAAAAUAAAAAUACGUCAUAUAACCAUGUAUGUUGCAUUGUGAAAAAAUUAGACCAAUGCUAAGGGGAAGAGAGAUUUCUUUGAUAGAAAAACAAAUAACUGCUAACCAGAAAAAAUGAUCAAUAUGAAAUAGAAAACAUGCAAAUACCGUAGAGAGUCUUAUGCACCUCAAAGAUGUAAAGCUAUACUAAUUCAAGACUCAGAUGAAAGAGGAAAGAAAUCCAUCACAAGAAAGAGCCUGGACCAAGAUUGAUGGUAUCCUAACUCCAAAAACAUCAAAUAACUAAUAAAUGUUUACAAUGUGAAAGCAAGAGAGAUUUUUCAAACCUCACCAAAAUCUGAUGGAAAUGAGCAAUAGUAUUAUGACAUAUAACAUUCCUAAUAUAACAGAAUAAUUUGAACUGUAAAUCAUCAAUUACUGUCAGAUACCACACUUAUCAAUUGGAAAUCUAUAUUCUCUCAUAGUGCGACUACCAUGACAUGUCAUAUAAGAUAAACCAGAAGAAGACAUAAGCUUUAACUAUUGAUAAGUAGAGAGCACAUAUGUGACAAUGACAACAAAUUAAAAGACUUUUUGCUCAAGGUUUAAUUUUGCAAAGUAUAAAACAAUACGGGGUAUUAUGAUAUUUUUUGACAAAUGCAGAUAUGAUGUUCAUUUAUCAUUACAUUCAAAACCAGAUACUCGUCAUCUAACACAAUUUACAAAUACAAGUGUAAUUUGAAUGCAAGAGACAUAACAAGCUCACCAGACUCUUAAAAUCAGAAGCCAUUAAUUUAACGUUUGUCUUCUUCCUGACGAGAACACUGGCAUUGAACAUAACAAGCACAAGCGUUACUCAAAAGAAAAUAUUACAACCCUCAUUUUUACAUGUGUUUAUGUUAAAAGGAGGGUGAUGCAAGGGAGAUUAAACGGAGACUAAGAAAAGAGUGAUUGAACAGAAAUUAAGAAAAGAGACGUGAUUCACUGAGAAUCACUUUUGUUGAUGAUACCUGAAAGGUGAAGCAAUUUUGUUAUCAAAGUCAGAAAGAGCAAGACCAACAUAUUUAUCACCAACAUCUAAACCCAUCAACCUUCCACGUUCAUUCUGUGUUGUUUUCACCAGUUUAUGAAACAACUGCAAGGGCUUCACUUGCUUCAUCUACUCUACCAAUGCUGCAAAAAACUUGCAAUUUGAAAAUGAGAUAAAAAUUAAAACCCUAAGUUAGAGAAUAGUUACAGUUACUCUGAACAAUGUUAGGGUUUUCAAUUCGCAGUUUUCAGUUCAAAACUUUAGCUAAUGUGGAUGACGGAUAAGGCAAAAUAUAAAUAAAUAAAAAUUUCUGCGCGCGGUGAGUCGAUGGAAACGGAAUGCGGUUUCGCUUUUCCUUGUUACUUUUUUCUUUUUUGCUGCUUUGUUGGAGUUUUUAUGAGUAUUUGAAUGGUUUUCCGUUUUUGUUGUAUGAUGAUGUUUUGAUUGUUGUGUUGUUCGCACGGUGUGAAUUGAAACGGAUAUGAAGUUUGUAUAAGUGUUUCAGGUGUGCUUGGUCAUUAAUGGAGAGAAAACUAUUUUCUUUCAAACCCCUCCAUUCGCGUAUCCUCUUUUAUUCCAACAUCAUUUGGUAUACAUGGGAAUUAAAUUAGGGUUUCUUUAUUUUCACAAAAGUCAAAAAUACCCUUUUGGACUAUUAUUUAGUAUCAAAAUAGUUAGAAACAAACUAAACUAGAUAAAAUUAAAACAUUCUAAAUAAUCAAAAUUACAUCAAAACGAGAACGUAGACAAUUAUAAUUAAUUAUUACGACAAAAAACAAAAAUAAAAGAUAAAAAAUAAAUAAAUAAUUGAGCACAAAAGUGUCCGGAAAAAUAAAAUGAAUAGUUCAAAAAAAAUCUCUGGAAAACGACAAGUUUUGAUCAAAUUUUGAAAUAAAAAAUUACCGAUUAAAAAGGCUCAGGCUAAUCAAAAUGUGAUCGUGGGAGGAAUUUAAAAAAUAAAACGAACACGUCAGGUUAAAUUAUGCGAAAUGUAUAUCAAUAAAAUUGACGUCUGCAUGAAUUGGUUUAUUAAAUUAGGGGGAAAUUAAUGUAUGACAAUAUCUUUCGGUGAUUCAAAUUAAACAUUGAAAGACUAUAGUUAGGUUUUGUCAUCCUGAUCUGAAUAAAAUAUGUGUGUGAUUUGAAUCACAACACUCCUUGACUCAAAUCACAAGACUCGUGAUUCAAAUCAUCUGAACUCGUAAUCUCUUAAAUAAAAUUGUGAUUCAAAUCAUGUCAUACAACAUGUGUGAUAUUUAAUUUGAUGUUAAAGAAAUAUGGAAAGUGAAUUGGUCUUGAAAAAUCAAAAGACAUCAGAAAUAUUAUAUUUUUUAAAAUAUUUAAUUUUUUAAAGACCUCAUGUUUAUUACUAACUAAAUAAGAAAAAAGACGUGAUUCACUGAGAAUCACUUUUGUUUUAUGCCUAGAAGGUCAACAAUGAAAGUGAUUUAUCUACUAUGAUGUGUGAUUGAGCAGUAUCGGAUGGACUAACAAGACUUGCACUUAAUUUUUAUUGACAUGAUGAAGGAAUAAUGAUAAAGUGCCUAGAAAGAUUUUGUGGAAAACCCUAUAGAAGAAACAAGUUAAGAAAUGUGGUUGGGCCUAACUCAACCCUACAAAACCGGUUAGUAGAGUGAGGAAAACUUGCAACAAUAAACAUGAGGAAAUAGCCUCAUUCAAUCUCAUCCCUCCAUUUCAUAUAGUUAAAAAAACCUAAGAUAGUCAAUAACUCGCACAUAUUCACAUAUACUCCUUAGAACCGGGAAGUGGUUAACGAGUACUAGUUACUCAAUAAAUUAGAAUCAAACAAAAUCUUUUAACUAUUUUUUUCAAUUUUAAUGAGAUAAUAAUUCUCAAUAGACUAAAACUUUAAAAAAAUAUUUUAUUAUUGAAUAACUUUCGGAUAUACACGAACUAUUUAUAACUGAGUUUUCAAAACAAUGUUAGCUAAAUUGUUGACUUGCACAGUUUUUAUCUCAACCAAUAUGAAGUAAAAAGUAGAUUGUUGCAAGUUUUCCUCUCAAACAUUUUUGUAUAAUAAUUAUUAUUUUUGAAGGUACUCCAAACUUUAUAUAGAGCACCGAGUAUAUCCAUCGCCUAUCUAAUUUUUUAAGAGUUCUAAAACGCAUACUACCACGUACCGAAAUAAAUUCUGUGAUCAUGGUUAAAAAUAAAUUUUGUCCCUACAUUUCUCAAAAUAUUAUAACAAACUAAAGAAAAUUCUAUAAAAGGGAAAUAGGAGAUCGGUAAUGUAAAAAUGAGAAUAUUAUAGAGUGUUAGGGUAGCACCUAUAAUAGAGAAGAUGGUAAAAAAAUAGAUCUAGGUGGUUUGGACAUUUAGAAAGAGGACAUAAAUUUUGUGGUAAAGAGAAUACAUCAUAUGAAAUGAAAUCAAACAACAAGAGGAUUUAAGGAUCUAGAAAGAGAAAGAUCUAGAAAGACUAUAAGAGAAGUUGUUAAAAAAGAUCUCGAGAUUAAGAACUCAGAUAGAAACAUGAUUCACGAUAGAACAUUAAGGCCAAAGUUGAUCAUAUAGCCGACCUUAUUUAAUGGGAUAAAGUUUGAAUUUUGUUGUAUUUAUUUUAGUUUUUAGUUAAAGAGGGAGAAGGGAUAAUAACUUUCUCCUUGUUUGAUUUACAAAGAGAAUAGGGAAAAUGAAAUUAAUUAAUAUGAUAUGAUGCCUUUUAUAAUAGUGGAUAUUUUAGAUACCCUGAUUCUCCAUUAUUAAUGCCAGAUUCUCGGUGAACGGAUAAUCGGUUAUUUACCACAAUAGGAUUGGGAAUAUCAUAGUCAUUCAAUGAAAAGUUUUGUUUUUUGUUUUUCAAGCAAAAGAUUUUAAGACGUAUAGGUUAUAAACACCCGAGUUAAAUUAAAAAGGAAUAAUAAAUCAUAGUCGUUCGUUGAUGAUACUUGAAAGUGAAGCAAUUUUGUUAUCAAAGUCAGAAAGAGCAAAGGACAAAUAUUUAUCACCAACAUCUAAACCCAUCAACCUUCCACGUUCAUUCUGUGUUGUUUUCACCAGUUUAUGAAACAACUGCAAGGGCUUCACUUGCUUCAUCUACUCUACCAAUGCUGCAAAAAAAUUGCAAUUUGAAAAUGAGAUAAAAAUUAAAACCCUAAGUUAGAGAAUAGUUACAGUUACUCUGAACAAUGUUAGGGUUUUCAAUUCGCAGUUUUCAGUUUAAAACUUUAGCUAAUAUGGAUGACGGAUUAAGGCAAAAUAAAAAUAAAUAAAAAUUCAGAGGAGAAAAAACCUGUUAGGUAAGAUAUCAAUGUGUGUUGUGGUAGAGAGUUCCGCCGAUGAGUAGGGGAGAUUGUAGAUUUGGAGUGGCGGUGUCAAUGGGUCUUCGAAGUCAAAGUGUAGUGACAACCGCAGCUACGCCGUACUGCGUUGAAACAAAAUAACUAAAUAAGGAAAAAAUAGUAUUCAAAAAUAAAAUAUGUAAUAGUUCUUAGUUUUCAUUUAAAAUACUCUUUUGAUAUUUUAGCUUUACUUUGGGAUUUAUUUUGGUCCCACAAUUUUAAAAGAUGUUAAAUUGAUCAUUUAAUUGUUUAAAUAGUAUUAGGUUCAUCCUUUCUAUUUAUAUAGUUAGUCAAAGUCAAUUUAAGUGUAUAAUUGACACACGUGUAACUGAUGUGAAUGUAUUAUUGAUGUGGAUGGUAGACAACCUUAAGAAAGAAAGUGAAGGUCUUUUUUUCAUAAAACACAUGCAAAAAAUCUAAUAGAGCCGUUGACGAGUGCAUCGGUUGCGAUUGUAGGCGAAAACGUUCCUUGAAGGUGAAAUCGAAGACAUAGAUGUAUGUUUGAAGUGAUUUUUCUAUAAUUUUUAAAUGUUGUAGUUUUAGGGUUUAUGGAAUCUUUCUGAAAUCCAUUUGUUUGUGCACUUCUAUUUUUAGGGCAUACUUUGAAAUGGAUGAAUAUUUACAUUUAAAACUCUAUCGUAAUGGUAAAUUCGUUGAUGGGGAAUUUAAUGUGUACAAAGGAGGAGAACUGGCUUAUUUGAAAAUAACGAAAGGUUUUGGGCCUUAGACUUGGAGGUAGGCGGCAUUGGGAUGUUAUGUAGGUGGAACACCUCACGCCAUAUCUGUUUUUUGACGAGUAUUCAAAGGCGUGAAACACUCCACUGCUUUCCCCCCCUUUUAACAUGGAUUUGUCCUUCACGAGCGAGGUGUAAUUGUUUUUUUCUUGAGGGAUGAGAGCUCUUGGUGUUUGGUAUGUGUACCUUGGCAUCGCGAGCCUUCUUUUUUAGCACUUUUUUCCUCACCUUUAAUGUAAUACUUCACCCUUGCAACUACUUUGGCGAGCGUGAGUGUCGGCUUUUGGGAGAAGGAUUCAUUGAAGUGUCUCGCCUUAAGUCCGUUUUGGAACGCUCCCACAAACAUUUAUUGGUUCAGAGAGACGACCUUGAUGGUGGCUUUGUGUACGAAGGAGGAGUGAGUGUCGGCUUUUGGGAGAAGGAUUCAUUGAAGUGUCUCGCCUUAAGUCCGUUUUGGAACGCUCCCACAAACAUUUAUUGGUUCAGAGAGACGACCUUGAUGGUGGCUUUGUGUACGAAGGAGGUGAACUGGCUUAUUUGAAAAUAACAAAAGGUUUUGGGCCUUAGACUUGGAGGCAGGCGGUGUCGGGAUGUUAUGUAGGUGGAACACCUCACGCCAUAUUUGUUUUCGACGAGUAUUCAAAGGUGUGAAACACUCCACUGCUUUCCCCCCUUUUAACAUGGAUUUGUCCUUCACGAGCGAGGUGUAAUUGUUUUUCCUUUAGGGAUGAGAGCUCUUGGUGUUGGGUAUGCGUUUUUUUUAGCACUUCUUUCCUCACCUUUAAUGUAGUAUUUCACCCUUGAAACUACUUUGGCGAGCGUGAGUGUCCGCUUUUGAGCGAAGGAUUCAUUGAAGUGUCUCGCCUUAAGUCCAUUUUGGAACGCUCCCACAAACAUUUAUUGGUUCGGAGAGAUGACCUUGAUGGUGGCUUUGUUGAAGGGGGUGUGGUAGUCCCUCAAUGAUUCUGAUGAACCUUGGCGGAUGUUGAACAUACUGGUGGUGGACAUCUUCCUAUGACGAUUGUUAGAGAACUGGUGUACCAACUUUCUCACAAAUUCUUGAUAGGUGUUAAUAGAGGCACUGGGAAGGCCCAUGUACCAUAUGAGGGCGCCUCACUAAAGGUACCUAACAACAACUAACAUUUUAGAAAGUUUGGGGCUUCUAUGAUAGCCAUCUACGUGCUGAUGGAGGCGACAUGUUCGUAGGGGUUGCUGCACCCAUCAAACUUAGCCAAGGAUGGAGGUUUGAAACCUUUGUGAACAUGGGCCAUCAUAUUUCGUUUGAGAGCGGUUGUGGAUCUAGUAGUUCCACUUAUUCCUAUGAAUUGAGUUCUUGUUGGCACUGUAUGAUAUUUUGGACAUCGUCUUCCAACAUUCAGUUGUGGCGUCAUAAUUCUUCCAUGGCAGCUCGCAUCUUCGCGAUGGCCUUGGCAUCGCCUGUACCGCUGGUACCCUCAAGAGUAAGGGAUGAAUCUCUUUUGUUUACUGUGUCUGAUAACGGUUAAGUGUAUGAGUUAAGGGUACGACGGGGAAGGUGAUGAAUGUUAAGAAGAGGUGUGGCCCAGAUUAGUUUUACUGGGUUCCAUAAUGGGUGUCAUUGUACUGUCCCAAAAGUACAUGUGUGUGUGUUCCCCCUGCAACGACAAGGAGACUCAAAGGCCCUAGUAGGUAUAUUAUACGUUUGGUGUGAGGGAUAACUCACGGUGGCAAAUAGCCUAAUGUGGUGAUUUCUUAGACUAUUUAAGGGACCAACUCAUGUGAGGUGAGAGUCCAUGUUGGCGGCUGGCAUUGUUGGGUUGCAGACGGACAAUUAGAUUGACGGUGUUAAGGUUACUAGAAGUGAAGUGUUCUCUAAGUAGUAGUGGAUAGUAAUAAGUGUGUAUUACUUGAGAUUUCAUCCCUUAUCCCCUUGAUGGAUAAUGUAUUUAAAGGGAUUCCUAAGGUUUUUACUCCCCAGACGUAGUAUUAACCAUUCCCCAAUUACUAGGGGUUAUUAACCGCCUAUUUUUUCAGAGUCAACGAGAACUUUCUCUUGCGUGACUCCUACAUCCACGCUCCCGGGGUAAAUCCCUUAGAUUCCGUUUUGGUGGGUUGUCUUCUGGGCGAGGUCGUCAUAGCCUAAGGCUUCCCAAAUAUAACACCACGCCCUUCAUUGAACUUUUUUUGGAUAGUGAAGGUGGAAAAUAUGAAUACAUUGAGUUGACAUGUUCGAAAUAGGAUGGUGGUUGCUUGGUAAAAUUAUCAUUAGAUGUACGUUUGACCUUCUUAUGAGCACCUUUAGUUUUUACUGAUUCCGCAGGUGGUUUUAUAUUAGUGGUUUCUAGAUAAGCUAUCAUGUGCAAAUGCUCAUUGAUGUACAGUUUCAUGUUAUAAUCAACGUUCAAAUUCUCUCUUAAAUCACCUCUCAUUCUGUCAUAAUAGAGAUAUUUAAUUUACCAUCCUUAAUCACACUGAAGCCUUUUCCAAUGCGUGUUUACCUCAUCCAUAUGUAUAGGUCUAUCAAGUUUCAUAUUCAUUACUAUUAAACAAGCACACAGAAGACUAUAGAUUCUUCUAAGUGUACGACCACACAUGGAGCUAUCUGGACCUGUUUGUUCUGCUCACACAACUUGGUGAUCGAUAAAGUUUAAUCCUGCUCGAGAUAUAUUGUCGAUCAAGUGUGAAUACCAAAACAUUUCAUUUGAAUUUACUCUAUAAUAUUGUGAUGUUUCAAAAAAAAUGAUAUAUGUAUCUCAUUAUGUUGCCUUUCAAUCAUUUGGUUCACUGAUUCCCAACCCUUACAAAGUUCCUCUUACUAUUUUUCAACCAGUUCUUCAAUGUAGCAUGAGUAGACUCAACUUUAUUAGUUGUGGUGUUUGCAAGGUGUCUAAUAUGAUCACUUCAUGCACAAAUAAUUUUCUCCUUCACCUUGUUUAAUAUUUUACUUUCAACAUAUUUCAAAAAUAUGGAUAUUGUGCAUACACUUAUGAGUUGUGUGACAUAUAACUCCUCUGUAGAAGAAUUAAUUAUAGAAAUCCAAGCUUCCUUUAUGUGUUCCGAUAUUUCAAUAGGUUUGACCAUCUUCCCGUCUUCUCUUUUGAUUUGUUUAUUUCCUAAAAUUCCUUUACUUCUACCUCUUAUAUUUUGUUUUAUAUGACAUCUAUGUAGUAAAGCAUGUGAUGUAGGAAAUACCUUUGCAAAAGAUGUCAUCAGCGAGAUAUCACAAUUAGUGACAAAUCACUUGUGGCGUGUUUUCUAAGUCUUUCAGCAUAUUAUGACACAUUUCUAAAGUCAAUGUAACAUAUCCUCUUUUUUACAUUUCAAAAAUGCAAAGUUAGUUGAAUAAGUCAUCUCUGUAGAAGUAACACCAACAAUUUAUAGAAGAAAAAGCUUGAACUUAUUGGUCUUAUAUGUUGAAUCAAUAAUAAAUAAUGUGAGAAUUGUGUUAAACAACUUAGUCAAACCAGGAUGAGUCCAAAAUAAAUCUCGAACAAUUUUUCCAUUUACGCACCAUAUGUACCUAGAUACAUAAUCAUACUCAUCUAAGCAUUUCAAGAAUUGUUGCAUUUCAGAUCUUAAAUCCCUCAUCACCUUAUUGUUUUGGUGGCGAACGUUGUAUAUUUUCAUAAUAUUUGAGACACUUUUGGAUCAUUUCCUUUUCAAAGUUCCAAGUAUGUUUUUUGGUUGAACCAUGUUUAAUGUCAUCUCAGAAUAAAUAUAAUUCUCUUUAGAACUCAAAUGAUAGACAAUCAGAUGACCAAAUUAACUUGUUACUAAUUCCAUGAUUAUGUAUACCAUAAGUCAUACUAAAUAUCCAAGUAUUAUUCGACUUUUAUUACCCGUGCAACUUAAAACGACAUCCCACAUUUCCUUGUUCUAGUAUAAUCACGUUUCAAGUUCUGUAUAGGUUCUUUAAAAUGGCCACUUAUUUUGCAACUCAUCAAAGAAAAGGCAUGUCUUCUAUUUGAAAUAGAAUUCAACCUCUCAAUAAUUAUCCCAUAACCUAAUUUAGCAACUUAUUUACGACCCAUUGAAGCACUUGUUCACGUAACACAAACUCUUGUUUAAUGGCCAUUUCUUUUCCAAAAUCAAUGUGUACAACACUUAGUUAGCGAUAUUUUGGAACACCAUCCUCUGAUACAUUAACUUUGUUGAUAUCAUCAGGGCACACCAUACCUACAACUAUGGAAAACUAAGACAAUUCAAUCACCCAUUUAAAUGAUUUAGAUUUCACUCUUUGAAUAUGUCUAGAUAGUACUAUUAGGACGAUAUUCAUGUUGAAGAAAUAAUAGAUUUAUUCAAUGAUCAUCAAUGGUAGACAUGUAUAUUUCUUGUAAUUUCAGACGAUUAUGAUGUUUUUGAUGUCGAAAUACAACACGGUUGUGUUUAUAAGCGCAAUUAUAAAAUAGGAAUGCAAGAAAAUUUGUGAGGGUUUAAGGAAAAAUGUUAUAUGAUGAUGAGUGAAAGAGUUUAAUAAAUUGUAAUGCAACUAUAUUUACUAUCUAGAUUCCACUCGUUGGAUAUUGAUAUUUGUGAGGUUCAUCCAGAUAAGAAUAUUCAGACAUAUUAAUUUAUACAUAAGAUAUGUUUUUGGGUGAAGUUGGCAUGUUGUGUUGCUUCGUGCUUCCGAAUUUCAAUCUCUCGACAGUACGAAAGGAGAUUUUUGGAAAUUCAUAAGGUUUGAGAGAAAUACUAAGGUGCAAUGAAUAACCCCCUUAUUGCAAUUGUUAUUACAAUUCCCUCCAGUGGAUCUGGCUCAGUUGCUUCUAAAAUCCAUUAAGGAAACAUUAUAGGUCAUUUUGGGCCAUUACCAUUGAACAAGUGAUUUUCCUCAACUUCUAAAAUGCAUAACUCCUUCAUGACAAAUACAAAUGAGGUCAAAUUUGUGAGAAAAUUGAAUAGGUUUGAAAGAGCUAAAAAAAUUAUGAAGGAACUUUUUCCAUUUGAAGUCCAUAACAAAAGUUAUUCAAGGUGGAAGAAGUGAACAUUUGGCUUGGUACUUAGAAAUUUUUCAAAUAUGUUUGAUUUCCCAAACUUCCACCUCAAAAUUCAUCAUGAUCGAAGCUUCAAAUGGAAAGGUGUUAAACAUGAAAGUUGUUCCCCUUGAUCUCACCUUUUCAAAAAGUUCAAGAUCACCUCAUUUAGCCAAAGAAUGAAGGCCUUGCGCAUGGGUUCUUUCCAAGGGACCAAUUGGAUAAUUUUCACCUUCACAUUUCAAACUCAAAUGCAUGGCCACAUGACAUGAUUUCAACAUGACUCUCAAGCAUUUUUGGACCUAACAGCAUCACUUGAUGGGCCUAUCACACGCCCACGCAAGCAUGCAAGGUGAAUUGCUAAAUUUAUCAAAUUUUGGAAAUGUGUGGAAAUGAAUCACAUUGACUAUAAAUACAACCCUUCAUACUCAGAAUUGAGGACCUCAUGCCCAAGCUUUGAACCUGCAAUCCGAACCCUCGCCAUUAAAGUAUAGUCUUGAAGGUUUUCAUUUGAAAAUCGAGCUUCAAAUCUCAUUCUGUUUUGAGAUUGAAACUCCAAGAGUCCAAGCCAUUUUCUGAUCUUAAUCACUUCCUACAAGCUUCUGAAGCCAAGCCAAGCACAAUUGGGAUCAAGAUCAAACAAGGUUGAAGCUCCCUCAAAGGUAAUUUUUCAGAAUUUUCAUCUAUUCGAUUCUCCCUCAAUUCUUCACUAUUCUUUAUGAUUUUUGGUUGGAUGAAGUCCUACCAAUGUAGGCAACAAGAUUGAGUUACUUUGAGGUUAAAUCAAAGCAACUCAGUUCAUGAUCCUCAAAAUUCAAAUCCCUGUAUCUUUUUAUAUAUUUGGAAUUAGAGAAAAUUGAGGCCAGAUUCGAGCUCUUGAGCAUUUUCUCUUUAAAAUAGUGUCAUUGUUUUUCAUUUUUCAUGGAGUUGAGGUUGGACCAGUCCGGUGGUCAUCACCAGAGAAGAUGACCGGAGCUAUGGCUCUAGUGGUGAGUUGGCUUCAUCUUAUCCAUCUCAUCUUGGUCCAAGGAUCUAAUUUCAGCCUUUGGUUUGAAUUAGCACUUGUACAUGCGUGUUGACUAUGGACUAUAGUGGAUAAUACGCGCUUGGCCAUCAGAUCUGCCACCUCAACUAAUGAGGGAGAUCUGAUGGCCCUUGUUUUUUUGUAUUUUCUGAUUUUUCAUUUAAUUGCUUUAUGUUGAUUAAUUCAUAAUAAUUUCAUUUUUAAUCCAAAAAAUAUGGAACUUACACAAAAAAUCUUUAAAUUUUUUUCUCUUUCAUUUUCUGAAUUAAAAUUAUUUUUUGGAUUAAUUUUGAUAUUUUUCAUGAAUUUAAUGUUUUUGUGCAUAUUUUUAAUUGUUUAAAAAUAUUUCUGACUUUUCAAAAAUCAUGAAAUUUUUUGUCUAAGGUCCUUUGACCUUGUUUGACCUAGGAUAAAUCUAUUGGCCAUUUAUUUGGUGUUUUGAAGAGGUUUUAGGUUUUGACCAAAUUCAAUUCAAUUUUAAUGCAUUUUUUAAAUUGAUUUUUAAUUGAUUAAUUGCGUAAAAAUUAUGUUGAACCAUUUUUAUGGUCUUGUGAUGUUUGAUUAUUUAUUUGGGCCUUGGUCAAGGUUGCUUUGACUUUUGUUUAGUUAAAAUCAUUGGAUUUAGGGGAUUGAUGAAAUGUAUAUUUCAUCUUCCAAAAUGAAUGAAUAUUUUUAAUUUGAUAAAAUUCCUCCCAUGACCAAUUUAUGUUCUCUCACUCCCCCCCCCCCCCCCCCCNCAUCUUAAUCCUUAUUCUUCCCCAUUCCUUUCAUUGAUCAAUGAAAUCUCAAAUGUCAUAAGGCUAAUUGGUUCAUCAAGGACCUUGUGUUAGAUGAACCAAUACAAGUAUGGAUGAGAUAGGUCCAUCCCUCUCGAUCUUUUCUUUUAGUGUGUGGUAUGUUUUAGGAGUUUGUUUCAUUAUACAAAAUCUCUAACAUGCAUUAACACCUAAAUUUUUAUUGCCCGACCUCAGAUAGUUGUGACUUAUACAUAAGUCCAAUUACAAUUGCUUAACAUGGAGCUAAAUUUGACCCUAAAGGCAUAACAUUCUAGUAAGUGAGAUUGUAAGUCUCCCACCCUUCAUGGUAUUGUGUGAAAACUUGGCCUUUUUUCCUUCCUAUGGAAGAUGUCUUGGUUCAAGGAUCCAUGCUUGUGAAUGGGUGGUUGAGUGUUCUCUAGAGAAUGACUUAAUCAAUUAAAAAAUCAAAACACUACUAACAUUCAAUUAAUCUUCACUAGCAUUUGACUAACUCUUAUUAAUAUUGCUUUACUUUCAAGUCAUUUACUUUAUGCAAUUUAAUUUUUUUGUCAUUUAUCAUUCAUUGCCAUUUAUAUUUCAUUUAACUUGUUUAUGUUUAUGCCAUUUUCACUCUGCUCAUUUGAGCCAUAUCUUGUGAUUGUAUACAUUUUGUUUGUGUAUUUUUAUUUUGUUUGUGGUCUUAGGACCUUAAAAUACUUAAUAAACAACAAAGACCCUAAAAAAUGUUUGGUGGACUGUUGAUCUUUAUCUGAACUUUUGGACUUAGAACUAGGCAACAUUCCUUGUGCAAAAAUGACUUGGCCAAUGCCAACAUUAUGAAAUCAAGUUAUUAUAAACUAAGCCUUCAUCUGAUGCAAGUCUUGGCAUUUAUUUAAAUUCAUUUGCUACAUUGGCUUUAUGCAAAUUGUUAUUUUGAUCUUGUGUCUAAUGCUUUAUUCUGAGUAAUCAAGGAGUAUUUCAUCUGAUACAUGAGAAGACAAAGAAGAUUGCUAGCUAUGGGACUUGCUUGCUUGGAUGUGGCUAUCUUUAUUUGAUACCUUGAUCUUCAUGAUGUCUGAUAUUGCUAAUUGCCUUCUUGGUUAUUGCUUGAUUCAAAGUCCAAAGGGAAAGGGGUUUUCUAUAUGACAUUAUUGUCUGUUGGAUUGCAUCUCAUUGAUCAGAUCUUUUCAACUUUUAACUUUUAAUUUUAUGCUUAGGAUUAGUCUCUUCAUCUCAUCUCACUUCUUAAAUUUCAAAUCUCUCCCCCUUUUCAAAAACUUUCUUUGCUUGUGAUUUCAAACUUAGACCUUAUUUCAAGUAGAAACACUAGCCUUAUGCCAUUGAAUUUUCAAACUCCUUUUUCUUAUAUCAAACUUGUAAAUAAAUCUAAUCAUAUUGACUUAAAAUUUUAAAAGACAAAAAGAACUAACAACUUCAUUCAAAUUUUUGGCCUCUUGUGCCUUUCUUAUUAACUUUUGAUUAAAAGCAAUUCACCCAUUUUGAAAUUGUUACCACGAACUACGAGGUUUUGAUCCCUCAUUUUUAUGUUGGUAUGUAGGCACAAGUCCGAAGGUCUUGUCAAACACAAAAAUAUAAUCAAUGAAUUCUUUUCUCAUCCCCACACUCUAUUUUUCUCAAAAAUCAUUUUAUACCAAAAAUACAUACACACAUAAAAAAGGGCUCCCUAUGAGUACCUAGGACACUUUGGGUGCUAACACCUUCCCUCUGUGUAAUCAACCCCCUUACCUGUAAUCUCUGGCAUUUUAUUAGUUUUGAUUUGAAAACUUCUUAUCUUUGGGCUUUGUUCGUACUUUUCCCUUUUCCUUUGGAAAAAAUAAAAGCGUGGUGGCGACUCUGGUUUUAUUGACAUUAAGCUUAUCCAUAGCUUGACGGUCAUGAAUUUACCACUACAGAAAUUAAGUGGCGACUCUGCUGGGGAGGAGUCCUCGGUGGGUUUAGCCUACUUUUUUAUAUGUGUAUGUAUUUUUAUAUUUUGAUGUAUGUAUAUUUGUUUGUGUGAUAUAAUUUUUUUGUUGUGCUUGGUGAUCUCUGAGUGGUGAGAUAAGUUCUAACCCGAACUUGAGUGCAACUAAGAUAGGAGGAUGGUAUAGUCAUGUUCAACUUGUGUGGAGUAGUCCUUAACAAGUUGGCUUGAGACCCAUAUAUUCAGCGGAGACCCUUUUGGAGUUACUAAUGUCACUCAAGUCAUUUGUGGUUAGACAUUACUUUCUCUGAUUUGGGGUCCGAGAAGUUGAGAACCAUAGAACAUUUAACCCAACUUGGCCUAUUUAGGAUGUAGUGCGGAGGCUGUUCAGGUGUAGGUCUUAUAACAGUUGUUACGUGAUACUACACUCAGACGAGUUUCUCUUGAGAAUAUUAUGGAUUGAUGAGUCAGUCAUCCUAACCUGUAAUAUCUGAUAGAUGGGAUUAAGACUAUAGGAACUCUUUUAGAUGGUUCUUAACUUGACUUCAUGCUCGUGACUCACAACAAACCCUUUGAUUCUCGGUUGAUCCAAUCAAGUCUCAUCAAUAUCAAUGGAACUUGGGUGUUUAUAAGGUGAAAACCAUAAUCCACCAAAAUGGAUGAUUGAUCUUGACAACAACUUGAUUCAUCCCUUGACCUUUACUUGUUUGCCUUGUGUGUGAUCCCUUAUUUGUGAUUGUUACAUUCAUGCAUUCAUGCACAUCAUAACAUUCAUCACAUGAAAAUUUCAAGGAACUGAGGUCUUAUUUGCAAAUAUUUUAAGACCAUGGAUUAUGGACGAAGGACCACUAAGAAGUACAGUUUCAGAUGUCCCGAUUUGAAAGAGUUAAGAAAGCUAUCAUCUUUUGUAUUAGAUCCCUUGGACUUGAAGCAACGUCAUGGGAAGCUUCUGUCUAUCUUGUGUAUUGAUGUGGUUGAAGGACUCUUCAGUGUUUUGGUUUAGUUUUACGAUCCUCUAUACCAUUGCUUCACUUUUCCUGAUUAUCAGCUUGUGCCUACGCUAGAGGAGUAUGCCCAUCUCUUGGGAAUACCCGUAUCUGAAAAAGUACCCUUUAGUGGAUUGGAGGAGAUUCCCAGGUCCCAUAUCAUAGCUGAAGCUCUUCAUCUGAAGAAAUCUGAGAUUGGAGCUCAUUUGGGGAAAAAAGGAGGUAUUAUGGGGUUGACUUCUGAAUUCCUCAUUGGUAAAGCUACUGUCUUUGCUCAAGCCGGUAGUAUGGAUGUUUUUGAAGCCAUAUUUGUAUUGCUCAUCUAUGGUCUAGAUUUGUUCCCUAACAUUGACAGUUUUGUUGAUGUUGACGCCAUUAGAAUCUUCUUGAUUGGGGACCUUGUGCCUACUCUGUUGGUGUAACACCUCAAAAUUUUCCCUCCUUUUCUUGAGACUAGUUUGAGACAUUGCAUUUCAUAUUUUAGAGCAUUAGGCAUUGCAUUUUGCAUCUCAUAUGAAAAUAAGAAGGUCAUCCUCCAAAGUCUUUGCAAAAGAUUGAGCAGUUAUGUGGUUCAAGCCUAAGGGUCUUUAUGAAUUGAUCAUUAACCAUCUGAGGGUUUUGCAUCUUAUCAGAAGCUCUUGAUUCUUCAAAGAUUUUGAGCCAUAUCUUGUCUACAAGGAUAUAUCACCAUCAUCAAGGGUUUCAUUAUUCAUUCUCAAGUUCCUUUGGAUUAGGGUUAUGACCUCUGGUCAACCCUAAUCAAUGCUUUCUUCCAACCAGAGUUUCUCAAGGAGAUAAGGUUAUUUCUUGGGAUGAGGAUCCUUUGGUUAUUCUAGAGAGCUUACAUGAGCUAGAGUUUCAUUUUGGAUCAAUUUCACCAGGUGAUGGAGGCUCAAAUUGAUCAAGGCAUUCCAAGGUCAUCUGAGGACCAAAAAGUCAACUAUGCAGUCAACUCUGGGCUUUGAGGUGGGUAAAUGAGUUGAGACACCUCAAUCAUGUUCAAAAGAGGUCUAUUUGUCAUUAUAAACAUCCAUCUUGAAGAUUCAGAGGUCAAAGCAAAAGUUACUAAAAAUGGAAAGUGACCUGUAAUUGAAAGUUUCCAAAAAUGGCAAGUUUUUGGUCCACAUUCAACUUGACUUUAAAACAUCAAAGAAGCUUCAAAUGGAUUUUUGGUGGACAUGAAAGUUGUAUAUCUUUGUCUCCCCUUUCCAAAAAGUCCUAUUUCAUGUCCAUAUGAUGAAUGGUUGAGAAGUUAUGGCCAAAUGAUCACAAGGUGUGCAUGGAAGUUCAAAGUGACAUAACUUUUGAUCCAAAACUCCAAUUUGGUCCAUUCUUUUUGCAAAAUACUCUUCAUGACCAAUACUUAUCAAAACAAGCCUUACCACGCAUGGAAAGAAUGUGAAUGCUCAUUAUUUUUCUCAUGUUCAUUUUGGAAGGAAUUUCCACAAUUCAAAUUUGGCUUAUGGUGCAAGCAAAAUAACACUUCGAGCAUGACCAUUGGAUGAUUUUAAGAGGAUUCCAAGCUUUGCAUGGUACUGUACAUGUGUAGCAUGGCCAUAUUGAUGCACUUAUCAUUUUUUGCAAAUCACUUCAAAACUCAUUAAUCAUGAUUAACCAAGGCCUAAGUGGAUUAACAUUGUGAUUAACACAUCAUAUAAAUAGCCAAACCCUAGUUUGUAACAACCAGAGCAGAAUUUCAGAUCUAGAAUUUUCAUUUUCCCUCCAUUUUUCUCUCUCUUCGAAUCCUUGAUUUCUCCACACAAACACCAAAUCUCUCUGCAUAUUGUUGAUCCUGGUGCAAUUCUAAGCAAGAUUCAACCAUUACUUUGUGGAAUUCAUUCCAAAUUCGAGCUAUUCAAGUGCAUGGACAUGGAGAUGGAAGUUUGAAAUUGAGCUAGAUCCAGUUGGUUUCAAGUGAUUCUUUGUGCAUAAAGCUUCAAGUCAAGGAUAUUGGAGUGGAUCUGGAGCUUUUGGACACUUGAGAGCUCGAUUUCAGAGAACUUCAUUUCAAGUAAGUUGAAAAUUGAUCCUUUCCUUUUGCUGUUUUCUUGCCAUAAAUGUGUAGAUCUCUUUGUGCUGAGCAUGCUGAUAUGAUUAGAUCUUGAUUUGGCUAAGAAUUGUGCAUGCUAGAUGAACUUAAAGUUUUGAUGUCAAAAAUGUUUUGCUUCGAUCCGGAGAAUGCAUGAGGUUUUAGGAUUUUUGAAUGUGAUAUUCGUGAUCUAUGUUGCAAGAGCUUUUCAACCAUAUAUAAUUUGUCAAUUUCUGGAAAAAUUGUUGGAGCUCCGCCGUGGAUUUGGUCGGAGAAGACGACCGGAACUACUGUUCUGGCGUCUGGUUCAUGCGCUAGGGUUUGCGUGCGUGGCACUGACUGUGUUGCUUGCAUGUCGUUUUCAUUGGAUGCUAGCGCCUUCAACCUGUGUUGCGUGUGUUUGAUUCCCUGCUUGUGGGUGUUUGUUGAUUUAAUUUGAAUUUCUCAUUUCCUUAGAGCGUGAGUUUGAUCCUGAUCCAUGCAUGUUUCUGAAUUUUGUUUGAAUUCCAUUUUCCCUCCAUUAUUUCAUGUUAAUUCAUUUUAUUUGGUUCAUUUUAGAAAAAUCAUUAAAAAUAGAAAAAUGCUUCAAAUUGAUCCCAAUUUUUUUUCAUGAUUUUGUUUUAAUGUCUAGUUUUUUUUAGUAUUAAUUUCAUGAUUUGUUGAUGUCUGAUUUUUUAAUUGUGAAUUUUUGAUUGGACAUUGUGCUAAUUUGAUAUGUUGUGUUCAUUGCUUUGUGAAAUGCUAUGUGUUGAUCCAUUUAAUCUAAAUUUUUGCAUGCUUGAUCUUCACUGAUGAUAUGAAUUUUUGAGCACUGGUUUAAAUUUUUUAUCAUAUGCUAUCAUUGUUUUUGACACAUGAAGAUAUGGUGUGACAAUUUGUGUCACAUUUUUUAUAUUACAUUUGUGCAUUUUUGUUCAUGCAUCAUUUGAACUCUUCUGGAUUUGAUUUUUUGCACAUUGUUUGUUCAUAACAUGAGUAGCUUGCAUAAAAUAUUUCAUAGCCUUUGCAUGCUUUUCUGUUUUGAUUUGGAUUUUCUAACUUGGAUGUCCACUUUAUGCACAUAUUGCUUGCCUUUGCUUUACAUUGAUCAUUUGAGCUACUUGCCUUGUGAUUGAUGUUGAUCCUUUUGAGGACUUUGAAUUGAUUGUUUGAAUGUGAAUUGUGCAAGAUUGAGUUCUGUUUUGAUCUUUGAUGUGGUUUGAGCUUUGCCUUUAUACUAGUGUUUUGUACAUGAACUAACUGUGCUUUGUGUUUCAGGUUUGGACAUUUGGCAUUGAUGUUUGGAUUUGUUCUCAUUUUGUGAGAUACAAAUGAUUUGAACUCUAAUCUUUGUUUGUUUUGUAGGGUUCUAAGUGUUAGGCUUGAGCUCACUUGAGUGCUUGAGCAUUGCUCAUUGAGUUGUAUAUACAGUUGUUUGGUUCCACUGUUUGUUUUCUGAUUGGUUUGUCUGAGAUACUAACUGGUUAGCUUUUGUACAGGUACAUUAGUCGCUUGCUUGCUUUUGCUUUGCUUAAGCUUUGGAUUAUGGUUGAUACACCACUGAGGUAGUUAGCCUCUCACUCCAUGUAGUCUGGAAGUCCUGUCACCUUUUUGGCAGGCAUUUGGCUGGAAGUCCUCCUUAAGAGGCUCUGUUUGUGUUUGUUUACAGAUUGUGCCAAAGACCUCUGAGUGAGGCAUGUUAUUUAUUAAGACCUCCUAAGUGAAGAGGCAAUUGACGGAUAAAAGGGAUUAGUAGUCAAUCCCCCGUUAUUCAGUGUGUCGUUCAUUAUGCUCGCACUACGUGCUGAUGCUCCUGAACAUGUACCCAAGAUCAUUUGUCCAGUGUCUGUCAAGUGGAAUAGGGUCCCUCUUUCUGGAUCCCCACACUUUCUAUGUCAUGAGCUCACCCCGGCCAGGGUUAAGAGCAUGAGGUCUCAAAGCAUGAGGUCUCAUCCUCAUUUCCUAUUUGAUCAGCUUCACCUUAACUCUCAAUGUUAGUGGUUAAGAGCUACAGAUUACCAUUGCAUUUUGGCUUGUUUGUUGAGGUUGAUAUGACCCCUCUUGACUAAAGCCCACACAUUGUUUGAGCCUCUUGUAUGGAUAUAGUGUGUGAUGUUUGUUUACUUAUGUUGAUGUGUUUUUCUCCCUUCUCGGAUGAGUUAGGUUAGAGACCUCGACUUAGGGAUAUUGAUGGCAUGACAACUAUUAGGCUCGAGUCUUAGUCUCCCUAUUAGUUUGUUGCUUCCCUGGUCUCUGAUUAGGAGAGUGUUUGUCCCCUGUUAAGGGGAACUGCGUCGCCCUGAUUCUCAUACCAGAUGAGAUACGUAGGCAGGAGAUUGUGCGAAAUCUCUCUGGGCAACCUUUUCUUUUUUUGUGUGUGUUGUGUCACCCUUUUUCCGUUUUGUGUGGGUGUGUUCACCCUUUUCUUUGUUUCUGGCAUGUGUCUUCUUUGGUGUGAGUACCCAUUUGUUCAGGCAGUGUGAGUGUUGUAUGUUCUAUUUGGGGUUCAUUUGUGAUGAUUGUUAUCAUCUUUGGGGUUCACAUUCGGGGUUCAUUUGUGAUGAUUGUUAUCAUCUUUGGGGUUCAUUUGUGAUGAUUGUUAUCAUCUUUGGGGUUCAUUUGUGAGAAUGGUUAUUCUCUUCCGGGGUUCACUUGUGAGAAUGGUUAUUCUCUUUGGGGUUCAUUUAUGACGUUUGUCAUUCUUUUGGGGUUCAUUUGUGAUGAUUGUUAUCAUCUUUGGGGUUCAUUUGUGAGAAUGGUUAUUCUCUUUCGGGGUUCAUUUGUGAGAAUGGUUAUUCUCUUUGGGGUUCAUUUAUGACGUUUGUCAUUGGGGUUCAUCUGUGACGAUUGGUAGUCACUUUGGGGUUCAUCUUUGGUACGCUGGUUAGCGUUUGUGUUUGAUAGGAGUCGGAUGUAAGUCCAUGUAUUGGCAUUUUGUUUCCUUUUUGUUAUUGUUAGGAGUCGGGUUUAAGUCCAUGUAUUGGCAUUCUGUUUCCUUUUGUGUGUUUCUUUUGACGUCUCAGCGUCCCUGUUGGUGUCUUGUUUCAGCGUGCGUUAGCCGAGCUACGAGUGCUCUGAUUCUUCUCUGGAUAGAGAAGAUACGUAGGCAUAAGACGCGAUGUCUUAGCGAGCAUGUAUCCUUUUUUUUCCCGAACUACGUUGACUCUGAUGUUUGUUUCUGACAAACUACGUAGGAUCAGGAUGCAACAUCCUGCCGAGUCCAUUUCCUCCAUAUCUCUCUUUCACCUGUUUUAUCACUCCAGUUUGUGCAGUUUUGUUGAGCAGUUUAUUAGCAACCCUUUUCCUAUUCUUUGAGCUAUCUUUUGAGCGUGGAUCUCGUCGAGUACGACGGACGUGAGGGGUGCUAAUACCUUCCCCUUGCGUAACCGACUCCCGUACCUUGUAAUCUCUGGUCGUAUGACCGAAGCUAUCUUUUGAGCGUGGAUCUCGUCGAGUACGACGGACGUGAGGGGUGCUAAUACCUUCCCCUUGCGUAACCGACUCCCGUACCUUGUAAUCUCUGGUCGUAUGACCGUUCCUUUCCCUUUCUUAAGUUAGUCCAGCGCUUCUUUUCCGUCAUAGGAUGAAUAGCGUCGGUGGCGGCUCUGUAAACAAAUUAUUUUUUCCGCCGAUUAUUUUUCGCGUUGCGACAGCUGGCGACUCUGUUGGGGACUAGAAGUUGACCUUUUGCUGGUCCAUCUUCCCUAAGCGAGUCAAUCCUAGCGCUCUCUAGCGUAGUUCUUAGGGUAGUUUGGGUUGUUUUUACUGUUUUAUUUAUUGCAUUUAUGAUUAUUAUACUGUGAUUAUUUGCAUAUGUGUUUGCAUGCAUCAUAUUAUCCCUGUGCUGGAUUCUGGACAGGUGGUUCCUCUGAUUUGGGGGUGGGUGUUCUAUUCUGAGUGGGGCUAAAACCCAGGCCCGAGUAUACACCUAGGAUUAGCGUGGUCUCAUGUUUCCUCACAUGUUAGAUCAGCAUGAUGUUGCGACAUGACAUACCACAGCCGGACGAGGUUCUUCCGAGAGAGCCCUUCCUUGUGGAGUGUCCAUAAUGGUUGGGUGGUCUCUUUUGAGUUGUUGACUUCGGCGACCGUUCUUUCCCGGGUCUUUGGUUUAGAUAAUCUUAUGAGAGAUGCACGGCACACCCGAAAGGGCAAACCCACUGAGUAUCUCAUCCGAUUGUCGAGACCGAUUGUCCGCCUUAGGAUGACCUUGUUAGAAUUCACCUGUGAGGGGAGGGGUUUGAUUCUUACAGAUACAAGUCUUGUUGGCAAUUCUGUGAUGGUGAUUUUAUAAGUCAGAUUUAUGGAUAUUUAUUUCUGACACGCCGAAGUUCUGUCCGUGGUAUUUAUCAGCGAGGGUCCGUUUAUUUCGGAUUCCUUGGGUCAGAUUUGGGGUUGCUGGUUCAGAUGAUUUUGUUGCUAUUUGUUCAGUGAUUUUCUGGUGAUGAUGGUGAUAUAUCCUCUGGUUCCGUUUAUUUCGGAACUCCCCGGGUUGAAUUUGUGGUUCCUUGGAUGGAUAUGAUCAGUUCUGAGUCCGGAAGUCCAGUACAGUUGAUUGUUCAGAUGUCUUGGAGGAUGGCACUAAAAAUUGCACGCAUGCAUCUGCAUCAUCCCCAUUUUGCAUUCAUCUGCAUCUAACCCAUGUUUAUCCAUAUGAAGGGUACAGUCUUGAUUGAGAUUUUGGUUGAGAGACGUCUUUGCAAAACUAGAUGAUUGAUGUCAAAAUGUUGCUAUCGAAUUUUUGUCCGUCUCAAUGAAGCCAGGAUCGAAGGACAGAAUGUUCCUCAUAUGGAUAGACAUUGCAUUCAUGCAUGAAUCAUAAUAACAUGUCUUCUAUUUUGCAGGUGUUCGUUGUUAACGUGAUUGAUUACCUCAGGAAUCAUUGCUCACGCACGCCGAAUCAUCCCUCUGCACGUAGCUCGUCCGCAUAGAUACCCUACCAGGCGCAACAAACCCAGACUGAUGGAUCCAUCCAUCGCCGAAUGUUAAUGUUAAUCCCAUGCCGAUGCAUGGUCAGAUGGGGGUGAAUGUAACUUCUAGGGAUACAGGCCAUAUCUGUGCGGUGGGUGAAGAGACUGACAGUGACUGCAAGCUCGACUCGUGGAUAAAACCGUGCGUACCAGGAAUGGAGAUCCAGAACUGGAAGGCCGAAAAGAUCAUCACUGUCACUCUGCGUGAAGAGUAAUAUUUCUGUUUUUCAAUUUUGUUUGCAUGAAGCCAUACGUUUUGCCCGAAACGUAAUGGUUCAUUGUAAGGGCCACCUAAUGUGUUUCAUUUUGCAACAUUUGCAUCAUUAAUAAACGGAAGUUUUGCACAUUAAAAGCGGUGUUCCCUGUUUUUCAUUUAUUUUUGCAGUUUAAAAAUAAUAAGAAUGGCAAUGUUUAUUUUCAUUUUUUCUCCUUCAUUUGUCUCAUCCCGACUCUGAAGCAAUGCAUGAAUCAACAUUCAUGCGGAUGCGAUCAUUCUCCGGAUCUCAUUGAUAACAACCCUGUUACACCCUAUAUGACUUCGACAACCCGAUCUAUCAUGCCGAAGAAGAAGGCGAAGAAGAUUGUGAACUGCUGGAAGAGUUAGCCAGGUUGUUGAAAUAAGAGGAGAAGGUGAUUCAACCGCACGAGGAGCAAUUUGAUUGUUAAUCUGGGUACCGAGGAGGUCCGAAAGGAAGUAAAAAUUGGGGCCGCUUUGGAGGUGAAUGUCAAGAGCAGAAUGGCAGCACUGUUGAAAGAGUAUGUUGAUAUCUUCGCCUGGUCUUAUCAAGAUAUGCCAGGGUUGGAUACCAAUAUCGUUGUGCAUAAGUUGCCAUUGAGAGAAGACUGUCCUCCAGUGAAGCAGAAGUUGCGCAGAACUCGACCUGAGAUGGCCAUGAAAAUCAAAGAGGAGGUGCAGAAGCAGUUGGAUGCUGGUUUCCUAACUGUCACUAAUUAUCCGCCUUGGGUCGCGAACAUUGUGUCGGUGCCGAAGAAGGAUGGAAAGGUGAGAAUGUGUAUGGACUACCGGGAUUUGAACAGAGCUAGCCCGAAAGAUGAUUUCCCAUUACCUCACAUCGAUGUGUUGGUAGAUAAUACAGCUCAAUUUUCGAUGUUUUCCUUCAUGGAUGGCUUUUCUGGCUAUAAUCAAAUUAAAAUGUCGCCAGAUGAUAUGGAGAAAACAAUGUUCAUCACACCGUGGGGCACUUUUUGUUAUAAGGUGAUGUCAUUCGGUCUCAAGAAUGCCGGUGCCACGUAUCAAAGAGCUAUGGUGACUUUGUUUCAUGAUAUGAUUCAUCAUGAGAUUGAAUGCUAUGUUGAUGACAUGAUAGCAAAGUCCCAAACAGAAGAGGGGCAUCUGGUAGAUUUGGCCAAGUUGUUUGACCGGUUGAGACAAUUCAAGUUGAGGUUGAAUCUGAAUAAGUGCACUUUUGGAGUGCGGUCCGGUAAGUUGUUGGGGUUUAUUGUGAGUGAAAGAGGAAUCAAGGUUGAUCCUGCUAAAGCAAAAGCGAUACAAGAAAUGCCUGAGCCGAGAACGGAAAAAGAGGUUUGUGGUUUCUUAGGUAGAUUGAACUACAUUUCGCGGUUCAUAUCUCAUCUAACAGCCACGUGUGAACCUAUAUUCAAGUUGUUGAGAAAAGGCCAAACGGUCAGGUGGAAUGAUGAUUGCCGAGCGGCAUUUGAAAAGAUAAAAGAAUACUUGCAGGAGCCUCCGAUUCUGAUGCCUCCUGUGGAGGGGAGACCGUUAAUCCUGUACUUGACAGUCCUCGAGGGGUCUAUGGGGGUGUGUACUGGGGCAGCAUGACGAGUCUGGUCGAAAAGAGCAUGCAAUUUACUACCUUAGCAAAAAGUUUACCGACUGUGAAACAAGAUAUUCACUGCUCGAGAAAACUUGUUGCGCUUUAGCAUGGGCUGCUCGCCGACUGAGACAGUAUAUGCUGGUUCAUACCACUUUGUUGAUUUCCAAGAUGGAUCCGAUCAAGUAUAUUUUUGAGAAGCCAGCAUUGAUCGGACGGGUUGCGAGAUGGCAAAUGAUUUUGACUGAAUAUGAUAUCCAGUACACUUCUCAAAAGGCAAUAAAGGGAAGUGUAUUGUCUGAUUACCUCGCCCAGCAACCCAUUGAGGAUUAUCAAUCGAUGAAAUUUGAGUUCCCUGAUGAGGAUGUCAUGUUUCUCAAAUCGAAAGAUUGUGAGGAACCUAUCCUGGAGGAGGGUCCUGACCCUGAGUCCGAAUGGAUUCUGAUGUUUGAUGGGGCCGUUAAUGUGAAUGGUAGUGGAGUUGGUGCUGUUUUGGUUACGCCGAAGGGAUCCCACAUUCCUUUUGCUGCCCGGCUAACAUUUGAAAGCACCAACAAUGUGGCUGAAUACGAAGCUUGCAUCUUGGGUGUCGAAGAGGCGAUUGAUUUGCGAAUCAAGAACCUUGUCAUUUAUAGAAAUUCAACUUUGGUUGUGAACCAGGUUAACGGGAAAUGGCAUACGCAUCAAUCCCAUUUAAUUCCAUACCGGGAUUAUACGAGGAGAUUGUUGACAUUCUUCACCAAGUGGGUGGAAGCGGCGUCUUAUGCAAACAUGACCUAUAAGGAUUGGCACGAGAUGUUUCCGUUUGCAAUGCAUGAGUAUCGGACCUCAGUGCGUACAUCUACUGGGGCAACGCCUUUCUCGCUUAUGUAUGGAAUGGAAGCUGUGCUACCAAUUGAGGUCCAGAUUCCGUCGUUGAGAGUCCUGAUGGAUGUGAAAUUGAAAGAGGAUGAAUGGGUAAGAACUCGGUAUGAAGAGUUGAGCCUGAUUGAGGAAAAGAGGUUGGCGGCCAUUUGUCAUGGACAGUUGUACCAGCAGCGAAUGAAGCGUGCUUUUGACUGAAAGGUGCGACCUCGUGUGUAUCAUGUGGGAGACAUGGUGUUGAAAAGGAUCCUUCCUCCUCAGAACGAUCGUCGGGGCAAGUGGACACCCAAUUAUGAAGGUCCAUUCGUGUUGAAAAGAAAAAAUUGUACACCCGGCAAGUUGAAAACUCGAAAAGGCGGCUUGGGCAAGAAAGGGUAUCCCGAUGGACUAAAAACUCGAAAGGGCGGUCCAGGCAAAAGAGGGAGUAAAACGAACAACUGCGUCUAGCAUGAUCGUUUGUACUUUGGUUAAGACACAUGGAUAAUCUGAAAGCGGAGAUCGGUCGGAAGCGCCUUGCUUCGGAAGGCAGAAAGCACGGAGAGUCUUGAGGACAUAUGGGUUGUAACCGAGUUGGAACUCGAUGAGAUCACGGGUUCACAUUGCCAUUAGGAUAGAUUUUCCUUUUGUGCGCAAUUACCUCUUUUCAGGGAUUGCUUCCUGUGUAUUGCUCAGUUACGAGCCACUUUUAGUAACCGAGUUGGAACUCGAUGAGAUCACGGGUUCACAUUGCCAUUAGGAUAGAUUUUCCUUUUGUGCGCAAUUACCUCUUUUCAGGGAUUGCUUCCUGUGUAUUGCUCAGUUACGAGCCACUUUUUCAAUCAAUAAAAUGCAUAUUCAGUCAAAUAAUUUUGUUUUUGUUUUCAUUACCGCUUUGAUUGCAAAAACAUCCGUUUAUUUUGAUAAAGAAUUUUUGCAUUUUGAGAUAUAUGGGUCCCUUCCAAUGCAUGUUUGGAGGAUUGAAACUUGAAAUCUUACUCGGAAGAUUGAGUGACCUAGGUGUUGAAAUUUUGGCACGCCUGGGGCACGUUUUUGUCUAACGAUCUCUUUUGCAGGUGCUGUUGGUUAUUUUCACUCACUUGCAGGUAGUGGAGAAGCGUUUCCGACGAAAGAUCCCCAGUGGAGUCCAAUAAGGGACAAGGUGUUAAAGACGACGAGAGACGUCGACGAUCCUGGAGGAUUAAUCAAGAAGACUCUUCAAAGUCUGAAGAAUUGGAAAGUUUGUACGAAUCUAAGGAGUUCGAUCUUCGUAAAGUACGGAGAAGUCGAGAAUACAAGGUGAUGAAUCAGAAAAGUCCGGAUGAGUUUGGGAGCUCUCAAAAGUGGAAAGUUGACACUAUGGUUAGAUGGUGAAUACCAGGGUUCGACGAGUCGACAUGUGUUCCAUGCCAGGUGUUCUGUAUUUCCCCAGCAGGGUUGAGACUGUUAUUUCCCCAGCAGGUCUGAAGGUUGCUGUUUCCCCGGCAGGGUGUGCGUUGGUAGUUUCCCCCCAGUAAAGUCCCCAAGAAGAUCGGGUUCAGUGGAGGUCGUCCCCGGUGAGGGUUGCUCUUUCCUCGGCAUCCGUGUUACCCCGAGCAGGGUUGGAGAUUGGAGCAAUAUCAAGUUCCUCAACAGAGGUGCUCGUGCCGUCCCCUGAGGGGGAUAUCUUUUUAUGCAUUCAUCAUUUAGAGAAGCAUAGCAUAUUGCAUAACUAAUUGCGUAGCAUUUCCAUGGUUAUGGAGCAUUACGCUGUAAAACACAUGCAUCAGCAUUGCAAGCAUAAGCUAGUCUCAAGUCGUGGUUACCGUUUGAGAAUUGGUUUAGCUGGUUGGUGAAGAUAUUACUCUGAGGAGUUUAGCAUCGUGACGUUGAAUCAACAAUAUUCCCCAGUAGCGCGAUAUUGGAGGAAGAGAUUCUGUCGGGCGGAGAUGGAAAUGAAGAUCGGAGAACGUUACGUGAUCAGCGCAAAAAUUGGGGUUCAAAUGGAGAAAAGGAAGUGCUGGGCAUUUUCUGGAGAACGUGGUUCAAAUGGAGAAAAGGAAGUGUUGGGCAUUUUCUGGAGAACGGGGUUCAAUUGGAUAUUGGAGUUGAAGAUUGUAUCCGGGAUGAGGUCCUCAGGAUUGUCUUCUGAUCAUGUGUCACCUUAGACUUUGGCGAGGCCAAGAGAAGUCGUUAUGGGUGUCUUCAAGGGAAGAAAUGCACAUGAUACCUUCCUGUUGUGAAGGUAUACCCUCUGAUAUGUCGCCGUCAGAGUGGUGGUUGGUGUUAUUUCCGACGUUGCCAACGGAAUUAACACGGGAGAAUGGAGAACGAGGUUCAAAUGGAGAAAAUGAGACACGGGGUGUUUUUUGGAGAAUGGGGUUCACAAUGACGAUCGAGAGUUAUCGUCAGGCGACUGGGGUUCAAAUGGAGAACGGGGUUCAUUAUUUGGCAGCAAGAGUGACAUGAGGUUGUCGGGGUUCAAAUGCGGUGAUCAGGGAUCAUCCGCGCGCGAGAAAAAUAUUAGUUUUGGGGUUCAAGAAAAGCAAAAAAAAAUCAAAGAAGUUUUGGGGUUCAAGAAAAGCGAAAAAAAUCAAAGAAGUUUUGGGGUUCAAGAAAAGCAAAAAAAAAAAUCAAAGAAGUUUUGGGGUUCAAGAAAAGCAAAAAUAAUAAUAAUUCCCAGUGGAACGCAAAUUGUUCGUCUGUUCUUGGUAUUCAACCACUCUUCACCCUGAUCAUCUGAAAGCCGAGGUUGUUCAUAUCGACAGGUUCAUAGUGGAUUGAAUAGGGGCAGCUGUAACACCUCAAAAUUUGCAUUGUUCGUCUGUUCUUGGUAUUCAACCACUCUUCACCCUGAUCAUCUGAAAGCCGAGGUUGUUCAUAUCGACAGGUUCAUAGUGGAUUGAAUAGGGGCAGCUGUAACACCUCAAAAUUUGCCCUCCUUUUCUUGAGACUAGUUUGAGACAUUGCAUUUCAUAUUUUAGAGCAUUUGGCAUUGCAUUUUGCAUCUCAUAUGAAAAUAAGAAGGUCAUCCUCCAAAGUCUUUGCAAAAGAUGGAGCAGUUAUGUGGUUCAAGCCUAAGGGUCUCUAUGAAUUAAUCAUUAACCAUCUGAGGGUUUUGCAUCUUAUCAGAAGUUCUUGAUUAUUUAAAGAUUUUGAGCCAUAUCUUGUCUACAAGGAUAUAUCACCAUCAUCAAGGGUUUCAUUAUUCAUUCUCAAGUUCCUUUGGAUUAGGGUUAUGACCUCUGGUCAACCCUAAUCAAUGCUUUCUUCCAACCAGAGUUUCUCAAGGAGAUGAGGUUAUUUCUUGGGAUGAGGAUCCUUUGGUUAUUCUAGAGAGCUUACAUGAGCUAGAGUUUCAUUUUGGAUCAAUUUCACCAAGUGGUGGAGGCUCAAAUUGAUCAAGGCAUUCCAAGGUCAUCUGAGGACCAAAAAGUCAACUAUGCAGUCAACUUUGGGCUUUGAGGUGGGGAAAUGAGUUGAGACACCUCAAUCAUGUUCAAAAGAGGUCUAUUUGUCAUUAUAAACAUCCAUCUUGAAUAUUUAGAGGUCAAAGCAAAAGUUACUAAAAAUGGAAAGUGAUAUGUAAUUGAAAGUUUCCAAAAAUGGCAAGUUUUUGGUCCACAUUCAACUUGACUUUACAACAUCAAAGAAGCUUCAAAUGGAUUUUUGGUGAACAUGAACGUUGUAUAUCUUUGUCUCCCCUUUCCAAAAAGUCCUAUUUCAUGUCCACAUGAUGAAUGGUUGAGAAGUUAUGGCCAAAUGAUCACAAGGUGUGCAUGGAAGUUCAAAGUGACAUAACUUUUGAUCCAAAACUCCAAUUUGGUCCAUUCUUUUUGCAAAAUACUCUUCAUGACCAAUACUUCUCAAAACAAGCCUUGCCAUGCAUGGAAAGAAUGUGAAUGCUCAUUAUUUUUCUCAUGUUCAUUUUGGAAGGAAUUUCCACAAUUCAAAUUUGGCUUAUGGUGCAAGCAAAAUAACACUUCGAGCAUGACCAUUGGAUGAUUUUAAGAGGAUUCCAAGCCUUGCAUGGUAUUGUACACGUGUAGCAUGGCCAUAUUGAUGCACUUAUCAUUUAUUUGCAAAUCACUUCAAAACUCAUUAAUCAUGAUUAACCAAGGCCUAAGGGAUUAGCAUUGUGAUUAGAGCAUCAUAUAAAUAGCCAAACCCUAGUUUGUAACAACCAGAGCAGAAUUCCAGAUCUAGAAUUUUCAUUUUCCCUCCAUUUUUCUCUCUCUUCGAAUCCUUGAUUUCUCCACACAAACACCAAAUAUCUCUGCAUAUUGUUGAUCCUGGUGCAAUUCUAAGCAAGAUUCAACCAUUACUUUGUGGAAUUCAUUCCAAAUUCGAGCUAUUCAAGUGCAUGGACAUGGAGAUGGAAGUAUGAAAUUGAGCUAGAUCCAGUUGGUUUCAAGUGAUUCUUUGUGCAUAAAGCUUCAAGUUAAGGAUAUUGGAGUGGAUCUGGAGCUUUUGGACACUUGAGAGCUCGAUUUCAGAGAACUUCAUUUCAAGUAAGUUGAAAAUCGAUCCUCUCCUUUUGCCGUUUUCUUGCCAUAAAUGUGUAUAUCUCUUUGUGCUGAGCAUGCUGAUAUGAUUAGAUCUUGAUUUGGCUAAGAAUUGUGUGUGCUAGAUGAACUUAAAGUUUUGAUGUCAAAAAUGUUUUGCUUCGAUCCAGAGAAUGCAUGAGGUUUUAGGAUUUUUGAAUGUGAUAUUCGUGAUCUAUGUUGCAAGAGCUUUCCAACCAUAUAUAAUUUGUCAAUUUCUGGAAAAAUUGUUGGAGCUCCUCCGUGGAUUUGGUCGGAGAAGACGACCGGAACUACUGUUCCGGCGUCUGGUUCAUGCGCUAGGGUUUACGUGUGUGGCGCUGACUGUGUUGCUUGCAUGUUGUUUUCAUUGGAUGCUAGCGCCUUCAACCUGUGCUGCCUGUGUUUGAUUCCCUGCUUUUGGAUGUUUGUUGAUUUAAUUUGAAUUUCUCAUUUCCUUAGAGCGUGAGUUUGAUCCUGAUCCAGGCAUGUUUCUGAAUUUUGUUUGAAUUCCAUUUUCCCUCCAUUAUUUCAUGUUAAUUCAUUUUAUUUGGUUCAUUUUAGAAAAAUCAUUCAAAAUAGAAAAAUGCUUCAAAUUGAUCCCAAUGUUUUUUCAUGAUUUUGUUUUAAUGUCUAGUUUUUUUAGUAUUAAUUUCAUGAUUUGUUGAUGUCUGAUUUUUUAAUUGUGAAUUUUUGAUUGGACAUUGUGCUAAUUUGAUAUGUUGUGUUCAUUGCUUUGUGAAAUGCUAUGUGUUGAUCCAUUUGAUCUGAAUUUUUGCAUGCUUGAUCUUCACUCAUGAUAUGAAUUCUUGAGCACUGGUUUGAAUUUUUUCUCAUAUGCUAUCAUUGUUUUUGACACAUGAAGAUAUGGUGUGACAAUUUGUGUCACAUUUUUGAUAUUACAUUUGUGCAUUUUUGUUCAUGCAUCAUUUGAACUCUUCUAGAUUUGAUUUUUUGCACAUUGUUUGUUCAUAACAUGAGUAGCUUGCAUAAAAUAUUUCAUAGCCUUUGCAUGCUUUUCUGUUUUGAUUUGGAUUUUCUAACUUGGAUGUCCACUUUAUGCACAUUUGCUUGCCCUUUCUUUUACAUUGAUCAUUUGAGCUACUUGCCUUGUGAAUUAAUGUUGAUCCUUUUGAGGACUUUGAAUUGAUUGUUUGAAUGUGAAUUGUGCAAAAGAUUGAGUUCUGUUUUGAUCAUUUAAUGUGGUUUUGAGCUUUGCCUUUAUACUAGUGUUUGGUACAUGAACUAACUGUGCUUUGUGUUUCAGGUUUGGACAUUUGGCAUUGAUGUUUGGAUUUGUUCUCAUUUUGUGAGAUGCAAAUGAUUUGAACUCUAAUCUUUGUUUGUUUUGUAGGGUUCUAAGUGUUAGGCUUGCUCAACUUGAGUGCUUGAGCAUUGCUCAUUGAGUUGUAUAUACAGUUGUUUGGUUCCACUGUUUGUUUUCUGAUUGGUUUGUCUGAGAUACUAACUGGUUAGCUUUUGUACAGGUACAUUAGUCGCUUGAUUGCUUUUGCUUUGCUUAAGCUUUGGAUUGUGGUUGAGACACCACUGAGGUAGUUAGCCUCUCACUCCAUGUAGUCUGGAAGUCCUGUCACCUUUUUGGCAGGCAUUUGGCUGGAAGUUCUCCUUAAGAGGCUCUGUUUGUGUUUGUUUACAGAUUGUGCCAAAGACCUCUGAGUGAGGCAUGUUAUUCAUUAAGACCUCCUAAGUGAAAAGGAAAUUGACGGAUAAAAGGGAUUAGUAGCCAAUCCCCCGUUAUUCAGUGUGUCGUUCAUUAUGCUCGCACUACGUGCUGAUACUCCUGAACAUGUACCCAAGAUCAUUUGUCCAGUGUCUGUCAAGUGGAAUAGGGUCCCUCUUUCUGGAUCCCCACACUUUCUAUGUCAUGAGCUCACCCCGGCCAGGGUUAAGAGCAUGAGGUCUCAAAGCAUGAGGUCUCAUCCUCAUUUCCUAUUUGAUCAGCUUCACCUUAACUCUCAAUGUUAGUGGUUAAGAGCUACAGAUUACCAUUGCAUUUUGGCUUGUUUGUUGAGGUUGAUAUGACCCCUCUUGAAUAAAGCCCACACAUUGUUUGAGCCUCUUGUAUGGAUAUAGUGUGUGAUGUUUGUUUACUUGUGUUGAUGUGUUUUUCUCCCUUCUCGGAUGAGUUAGGUUAGAGACCUCGACUUAGGGAUAUUGAUGGCAUGACAACUAUUAGGCUCGAGUCUUAGUCUCCCUACUAGUUUGUUGCUUCCCUGGUCUCUGAUUAGGAGAGUGUUUGUCCCCUGUUAAGGGGAACUGCGUCGCCCUGAUUCUCAUACCAGAUGAGAUACGUAGGCAGAAGAUUGUGCGAAAUCUCUCCGGGCAACCUUUUCUUUUUUUGUGUGUGUUGUGUCACCCUUUUUCCGUUUUGUGUGGGUGUGUUCACCCUUUUCUUUGUUUCUGGCAUGUGUCUUCUUUGGUGUGAGUACCCAUUUGUUUCAGCAAAUGUUGGUGAGUGUUGUAUGUCUAUUUGGGGUUCAUUUGUGAUGAUUGUUAUCAUCUUUGGGGUUCACAUUCGGGGUUCAUUUGUGAUGAUUGUUAUCAUCUUUGGGGUUCAUUUGUGAUGAUUGUUAUCAUCUUUGGGGUUCAUUUAUGACGUUUGUCAUUCUUUUGGGGUUCAUUUGUGAUGAUUGUUAUCAUCUUUAGGGUUCAUUUGUGAGAAUGGUUAUUCUCUUUCGGGGUUCACUUGUGAGAAUGGUUAUUCUCUUUGGGGUUCAUUUAUGACGUUUGUCAUUCUUUUGGGGUUCAUUUGUGAUGAUUGUUAUCAUCUUUGGGGUUCAUUUAUGAGAAUGGUUAUUCUCUUUCGGGGUUCACUUGUGAGAAUGGUUAUUCUCUUUGGGGUUCAUUUAUGACGUUUGUCAUUAGGGUUCAUCUGUGACGAUUGGUAGUCACUUUGGGGUUCAUCUUUGGUACGCUGGUUAGCGUUUGUGUAUGAUAGGAGUCGGAUGUAAGUCCAUGUAUUGGCAUUCUGUUUCCUUUUUGUUAUUGUUAGGAGUCGGGUGUAAAUCCAUGUAUUGGCAUUCUGUUUCCUUUUGUGUGUUUCUUUUGACGUCUCAGCGUCCCUGUUGGUGUCUUGUUUUAGCGUGCGUUAGCCGAGCUACGAGUGCUCUGAUUCUUCUCUGGAUAGAGAAGAUACGUAGGCAUAAGACGCGAUGUCUUAGCGAGCAUGUAUCCUUUUUUUUCCCGAACUACGUUGACUCUGAUGUUUGUUUCUGACAGACUACGUAGGACCAGGAUGCAACAUCCUGCCGAGUCCAUUUCCUCCAUAUCUCUCUUUCACCUGUUUUAUCACUCCAGUUUGUGCAGUUUUGUUGAGCAGUUUAUUAGCAACCCUUUUCCUAUUCUUUGAGCUAUCUUUUGAGCGUGGAUCCCGUCGAGUACGACGGACGUGAGGGGUGCUAAUACCUUCCCCUUGCGUAACCGACUCCCGUACCUUGUAAUCUCUGGUCGUAUGACCGUUCCUUUCCCUUUCUUAGGUUAGUCCAGCGCUUCCUUUCCGUCAUAGGAUGAAUAGCGUCAGUGGCGGCUCUGUAAACAAAUUAUUUUUUCUGCCGGUUGUUUUUCGCGUUGCGACAGUUGGGUGAUAUGUAUUUCUCUUUGCAUUUGAGGAAUUCUAAAGGUGGUGAGACUAUUGUUUGUUGUGUUCCUCUUCUAUACAAGUGGUUUAUUUCGCACUUGCCUCAGACGCCUGCUUUUUUGGGGAACAAACAAUGUCUAAGGUGGUCCUAGAGACUUAUGUCUCUCAGUAAUGGUGAUAUUGUUUGGUAUGAUUCUAUGUUGAGUAGUGUGGAUAUUAUUGACAGUUGUGGUGAAUUCUCUAUUGUGCCCCUCAUUGGUACACAAGGAGAAAUCAACUAUAACCCUGCUUUGGCUCGUCGUAAACUUGGGUUCCCCUUGAGAGACAAACCUAAUAACACUUAGUUAGAAGGUCUUUUCUAUCAAGAGGCUAAAGAUCCCCAACAUUUGAAGCAGAAGAUGAUACAUGCUUGGCACAAUGUGCAUAGGAAAGGAAGAUCCGAGCUUGGUCCGUGCAAUUAUGUAGCUUUGGAAACUUACACUAUUUGGGUGAAGAAGAGAGCUUUGGAGUUAAAGAUGAUAUAUGCUUGUGAAAGACCUAUGUAUUUGGUUGAGGUUGAGCCAUCAACUCUCCUGAACCAAGAUGUAGAGGAGUUGGAAGACACACUCGUCAGGAUGAAGCAAGAGAAAGAUAUGUGGGAAGAACGAUUCCAUGCUUUAAACCGAAAGCAUGAAGAGUUGUAGCUUUAGUCAAAAGACAAGGAUGCGCUUAUUGAACUUCUUAAAGACCGAGCAAUAAAGAGAUAGAGAGCCAGAGGGUUUAUCUUCCUCUAGCAUGCCUCAGCCUUCCGGUGCUUGAAAGAAGAUUGUUGAUCAGUUAGCUCUUGAUAAAGCUUAGAUGAAGACAUCUUUUGAGUUCAAGAUUCGACGCAUCCGAAGGAAGUACGCGCCUGCAGCCAGAUCAUCUGAUAUCGUUGCUAAGGGGUCCUUAGGAUGAUCGAUUUCCUUUUCUCUUGUAUUUGUAUUUUGGUUUCUGAAAUUGUACUCAGUGUAAUCCUUCCAAAUUUUAUGAAUAAAAAAAGAGAUUUCAUGGUCAAUCAAAUUGUUACUAUUGUUAUUAUGAAAAUAGAACUUCAUAUGUUCCUUGAAAUUAAAUAAUCAAAAACAUUGCAUAUCAUGCAUCAUUUGCAUAGCAGGUUUUCUUCCGCCAGAUGUCUUAUCGGUUAUUCUUUUAUCCUUCAGCCAAGCUAACUCACCGAUACAAUAGUCGCGCUAAUCAGCCGAAGAUCAUGGAGUAUUUAAAGAAAGAGAAUAGAGAACUGAAGGAUGCAAUUGCACGGUUAACUGAUAUGAUGGAGUCUCUUUUUGUUGCACAUAAUCAGUCUUCACCAACUCCUGUAACUCCUCCCCAGAGGACUGUUAUUUCUGAGGUUGUUACCUCGAUUGUUCCUAUUGCUGCCAACCAAUCCGGUCCUUCCGUGCCUGCUGGAUUCCCUUGUGGAAUGCCAUCUAACUUUAUGCCUAAAGGGUAUGCACCCACUUUUGUUUCUCUACUGGCAUCUAGCCCGGUCAUGUCAGUGUCUCCUCAAAUUGUUCAUACUUUGCCUCAUGUUAAGGAUGCCAUCUACCACUAUGAGCCAUCUGAGCGCCCUGAUAUAGAUGAGAAAAUGGACAAAAUGAAGGAUCAAUUCCUCGAGUUGCGUAAAGAGUUGAAAACUUUGAGAGAAAAGGAUUUAUUUGGGAAGAAUGUUGUUGAGCUCUGCCUGGUACCUCAUGUGAAGGUCCCGAUGAAGUUCAAAGUCCCUGACUUUGAAAAGUAUAAGGGAAAUACUUAUCCGCUAAGCCACCUUAGAAUGUAUGCCAGAAAAAUGUCAACUCAAACUGAUAAUGAUUAGUUCUGAUUCAUUACUUCUAGACAGUUUGACUGGUGCUGCUUUGAGAUGGUAUAUGUGGUUAGACAAUGCAAGUAUUCAUACUUUCAAUGACUUGGGUGAAGCCUUUGUUAAGUAGUAAAAAUACAACGUUGAUAUGGCGCCUGAUAGAGACCAGCUGAGGUCUAUGUCUCAGAAGGAGAAGGAGACAUUCAAGGAGUAUGCUCAGAGGUGGAGGGAACUUGUUGCCCAGAUUAGUCCACCAUUGGUAGAAAAGGAAAUGACAAAGAUUUUCUUGAAGACGCUGAGUUCGUUUUAUUACAAAUGUAUGAUUGUCAGUGCCCCCAAUGGGUUUACCGAAAUGGUAAACAUGGGGAAGAGGUUAUAAGAGGGAUUCCGUGAACGACGUUUGUCUAAAGAAGAAGCAUCGUCUAGCAAGAAAUAUGGUGGUAGUUUCUCCAAAAGGAAGGAAGGAGAAACUAAUUCAGUAACUGUGGGGAGGCAAAGGAGGCCUCGUGUCAGAAAAAGUUCUCAACCUCGUCAACAUCAACAUCAAGUUUCUUAAGUGAUUCCAGUUUUUUCCAAUAAUUCCGACAAUCAAUCAGUUCCGAUUCAACAACCACGUCUACAACAACCACAACAAAGAACCAACUACAACAACAACAAUAAUCAACAACAAAGCUUUGAGCAUCUGAGCUUCAACAGGGGCAACCCCUUUCUCACUUGUUUAUAGUAUGGAAGUUGUGAUCCCCGUAGAGGUUGAGAUCCCAUCACUGCGUAUCUUGAUGGAAGCCAAGUUGAUUGAAGUUGAAUGGUGUCAGACCAGAUAUGAUCAGUUGAAUUUGAUUGAAGAGAAGAGUUGACUGCCAUGUGUCAUGGUCAGUUAUAUCAAUAACGAAUGAAGAAAGCAUUUGAUAAGAAGGUCAAGCCUCGUGUGUUCAGAGAAGGUGACCUUGUGCUCAAGAAGAUUUUGUCUUUUAAACCUGAUGCUAAGGGUAAAUGGACUCCUAAUUAUGAAGGCCCAUAUGUUGUUAAGAGAGCCUUUUCAGGUGAUGCUUUGAUUCUUACAACUAUGGAUGGUGAAGAGUUCACUCGUCUUGUAAAUGUCGAUGCAGUCAAGAAAUACUUCGCCUAAAAAGAAAAGAACAUGUCGCUAAGUUGAAAACCCGAAAGGGAGACUUAGGCAAAAAAUGAGUGUCUUGGUGGAUUGAAAACCCGAAAGGGCGAUCCAGGCAAACGUUAGAGACAUAAAAAUAGAAAUUUAUCCUGGUAGAUUGAGUACCCCGCCUUGGGGAAAUCUAGGCAAAAAUUAGGGAUUAUGGCAAGUAACUGCAUUCGGUUGAUCCUGGCCAUUGGAGUGGUUUUGAGCAAGUCAUAUGGUUCUGAUUCGUCAUUCUCGACCAAAGCCAAGAGCACAACGGAUGUUGGAGCCAGUAGGGAGAGUAGUGAUCAUUGUAUUCAAUGUAGCCCUUUUUCAUGUAAAUUACCAUUUUUUUCAACUUUGUAAAGAUCCAUGGAGUCUUGUCAUUUACAGACUACCAUUCUAUUAAAUAAAGUUGAGCUUUUUAUCCAAUUGUUUCUACUCUUAUUUAUUUCAGCUAAAUAAAAUUGAAUUUUUAUGAUGAUAAUUUUAAAAUGAAUUAAUAAAUUAAAACCUUUUGUUCUUAAGAAUGUAAAAGCAAUUACUUUAAAAAAGCGAUUUCAACAAGGAAUGUCGACAGCAGGCCAAGAACAGAUAAGUCUUGACAAUGUGGACCCUCGUUGGUCUUCCCCAAGCAGUUAGUUUGGCAAUAAUUCCCAAACAAUUCAUCAUUUAUCCCCAGUAGAAUUUGACUGGUGAUCAAUCCCUUUUGCAACUUAUCCCAGCUGAGUUGAAGACUCACAUCCUCAGCAAAUUGGCUCAGACCCCGUGCAGAGUUUUAUCUCCUGUAUUCCUCGGCUGAGUCCAUCUUCAGAUAUCGAAGACCUUUGAUUCCCAGCAGUGUUUGAUCUUGAGCGAUGUUUGAUUUGGUCCUCUGCGAGGUUGUCCCCCCAUUUAAUAUGGUGUUGACCUAAAACUCCUUGCAGAGUUGACAACUUGGAUCCUCAGCAAAUCUUUUUCUCCUUUCUCCAGCUAGGGUUGAGUUAUUCAGAUCCAGAUUAUUGGUGUUCAUCCCCAACAUUUUUUCUCGAGUUGGCGUUCCCAUCUUGUUGAGAUUAGCCGAGUGCUGCAGUGGUGCUUUAAAUUUGUGAUAUUUAUAUCCUUUGUGAUAAGUUUUGUCAUCAUAAUCAUCAAACAUAUACAUAUUCAUGCAUAAAAUACAACAUCAGAUAUUUCAUUAUGCAUUUGUUAUUGCAUUUGAUUAUGACUCCCUGCUACGGUGACAUUAUUUCCCCAUGCAGGUUUGGUGCGUUUGUCCUCCUUCUAUAGUAGAGUGUCAGCCCAUUAAGCAGAAGGAAUUUAACCUUUCUUUUUUCCCCACUGAGUUAUUUCCUCGUGGGUGAUUAUUAUUUCAGUUUCCUCCCCAUUUAAUUAUCUGGAUGGAACCACUCUCCUUGAGUUAUAUCCUCAUUUGGGUUGAGUUCUUGAUUGACCGUUUCUUUCUAGCUCUUACCUAGAUAGAUACUUUUGGGUCUCUUGAGAAUCUAUUAUCCAGUAACUGGUAAUAUUCUUCUCAGUUUUUGAGUACAUUACUUUUGCCCAAUACUUGGUAAAUGUACUUCACUUCCUUUGUUUUCCCCAACGAAUCCGUUUUCACAUUUCCCCAGGCAGUCUAUCCUUGAUAUGUUCAACCUAACCGAUGACGGAUAUUCUCCCUUUAUGGUUUUCUACCCAAUAAAAAGGAGGUUGCAAUCCUUAUUCCAUUCCCCAGAGGGUUAAUCCUUGAUAUGUUCAUCUUAACUGAUGACAGAUUUCCUCCUCUUCGCAGUUUUCUGCCCAGUAACAGGUAGUUGUAAACCCUGCUUUCCCCUGCUAAGUCUAUCCUUGAUAUGUUCACUUUAACCGGUGACAAAUAUUUUCUCUCUUUGGUAUUAUAUCUAGUAACUGAUAGAUAUAAUACUUGUUUUUCCCCGGUAGUCUAUCCUUGAUAUGUUCAUCCUAAUCGAUGACAGAUAUUCUUCCUCUAAGUCUAUCCUUGAUAUGUUCAUCUUAACCGAUGACGAAUAUUCUCUUUCUUUGAUCUUCUGCCCAGUAACCGGUAUUUGUAAAUCCUAUUUGAUAUUUUCCCCAUCAUUGUGUUCUUACCUAGUAACCGGUAACGAAUACACCUCUUUUUCCUCAGCGAGUCAUCCUUGAUAUGUUUACCCCAAUCGGUAACGGAUGUCUCUCUGUCAGAGUACAUUAUCUUCCUAUCCAGUAGCCGGUAAGAGAUAAUAUACUUUUGGUGCUCCUGUGUUGAAGUUCAUUCUUCCCCAGUUGAGUUUGGGUGCGUAUUUCCUUAGUGAAGUCGCCAACCCCUGUUUGGUUCGAGUAUUUCAGAUUUGUUCUGAUUUACCCGUUUCCCCUACAAAUUUUCCUUAUCCUCAACCGUGUCCUUCCAUUGAUUUAUUUUCAUGGAAUUCUUCUCAUGUCUCCAGCAGUUUUUAAGUCAUAUCCUGGCCUACGCAGAACACUUUUUAUCCCCCAGAGUCUCUAUCUCCCUAGUGAGUGUUCCUUUUGAAUGCAUUUUGCUCCUGUGGACUUUCAGUCUCUCCGGAUUCUUUUCCUUUGUGGCAAUAUUUUCCCCACAGAUAUUAUUUUAACAUUCAUGUCAAAUGCAUCUUGAGGUCUCUCAGGGACCAAAAUUUAUUUAUAUAUGUUGUUAUUUAAGUCUAUUUUACUGAGUUGAUACGAAGAUUUUAACCUUCACAUCCUCAGUUAGAAUGUCCUUAAAUAGGGGCAGCUGUAAGACCCCAAUUUUGACCCUAAGAUCCCUCAUGCUAUCUCAUCAUAUGCAUUGGCUUUGGGAUCACACAUUGGCAUUAUCCUUACCCCUAAUUCAUUAGCUUUGCAUUGGGAGAGGUCACCGAGCACAUUUGAUUGUAUCAUACUUUGUUUUUCAUUAUUUACUAACCAAAAUACCAAAAAUAUGUCUAUGUAUAGUUUGUUGCUUUUAUAUGUAGUGUAUGUGUUCACCCAUGCUCCAUCAAACUCAUAUAUAGGGUUUAAGACCCUCAAUGCAAGGAGAUCAAUCAAGAGGUGGUUUACAUUGGUUCUAGACAUAAUAUCUAGAUCCCCAUGAUCUUCAAAUAUCAUUUUGAUCAAGAAAAUAUCAAGAGUUUGAAGCUUGUUUGCCUUGGAAGCCUUAAUUCAUCUAGGUAUCUUGCGUGACUUCCUCAACAAGUUUCUUUAUCAUUUGAUCAAAUAUAUCAAGGGAUACUUCAUAUUACAUUAUCCUACACAUAUAUGAUCCUCCAUGAGUCCCAAAUAUCAAGAGAAUGUCAAGAUUGCAAGAUGGUUCAUGGUGGUUGACCAGAGAAAGUCAACUAGUCAAAACUGGGGUUCCCUAGACCUUAUCUCCUACAAUUUUUGUCAUCUGAAAAUGAUUCUAAGAUUAAUGUUACUCCUUAUGACAUCCCAAACAACUUUCAUGUUGAAGUCAAGAGCUAGUUUUGCUUGGAAAGUCAUUUUUUUAUGGUGAAAGAUUAUAAGUCAUUUUGUCUGAACCCUAGUUAGGGAGUCAACUUCCAAAGAUCAUAAUUUGCUCAAUUUUUAUGAGAUGAAAGCCAUUCAAGUUCCAUGAUCAAAUUCAAGAUGUCCUUUUCAACCUUUAUGUUUAAAAGAAGUUCAAAUUCAACUUGCAAAUUCAUGUGCCAAGAGGAAACAUUAUAGGUCAUUUUGGGCCAUUACCAUUGAACAAGUGAUUUUCCUCAACUUCUAAAAUGCAUAUCUCCUUCAUGACAAAUCCAAAUGAGGUCAAAUGUUUUACCAAAUUAAAGAUGUUUGAAAGAGCUAAAACUUUGAUGAAGGAAUAUUUUCCAUUUGAAGUCCAUAGCAAAAGUUAUUCAAGGUGGAAGAAGUGAACAUUUGGCUUGGUACUUAGAAAAUUUUCAAAUAUGUUUGAUUUCCCAAACUUCCACCUCAAAAUUUAUCAUGAUAAAAGCUUUAAAUGAAAAAGUGUUCAGCAUUAAAGUUGUUCCCCUUGAUCUCACCUUUCCAAAAAGUCCAAGAUCACCUCAUUUGGCCAAAGAAUUAAGGACUUGAGCAUGGGUUCUUUCCAAGGGACCAAUUGGAUGAUUUUCACCUUCACAUUUCAAACUCAAAUGCAUGGCCACAUGACAUGAUUUCAGCAUGAUUCUCAAACAUUUUUGGAUCUGAUAGCAUCCCUUGAUGGGUAUAUCGCACGCCCAUGCAAGCAUGCAAGGUGAAUUGCUAAAUUUAGCAAAUCUUGGAAGUGUGUGGAAAUGAAUCACAUUGGCUAUAAAUACAACCUUUCAUGCUCAAAAUUUAGGACCUCAUGCCCAAGCUUUGAACCUGCAACCCAAACCCUCACCAUUGAAGGAUAAUCUUAAAGGUUUUCAUUUGAAAAUCGAGCUUCAAAUCUCAUUCUGCUUUGAGAUUGAAACUCCAAAAGUCCAAGUCAUUUUCUGAUCUUAAUCACUUCCUACAAGCUUCUGAAGCCAAGCCAAGCACAAUUGGGAUCAAGAUCAAGUAAGGUUGAAGCUCCCUCGAAGGUAAUUUUUCAGAAUUUUCAUCUCUUCGAUUCUCCUUCAAUUCUUCACUAUUCUUUAUGAUUUUUGGUUGGUUGGAGUCCUACCAAUGUAGGCAAUAAGAUUGAGUUGCUUUGAAGUCAAAUCGAAGCAACUCAGUUCAUGAUCCUCAAAAUUCAAAUCCAUGUAUCUUUUUAUAUACUUGGAAUUAGAGAAAAUUAAGGUCAGAUUCGAGCUCCUGAGCAUUUUCUCUUCAAAAUAGUGUCCUUGUUUUUCAUUUUUCAUGGAGUUGAGGUUGGGCCAGUCCGAUGGUCAUCACGUGAGAAGAUGACCGGAGCUAGGGCUCCAGUGGUGAGUUGGCUUCAUCUUAUCCAUCUGAUCUUGAUCCAAGGAUCUAAUCUCAACCUUUGGUUUGAAUUACCACUUAUACAUGCGCAUUGACUGUGGACUAUGUUGGAUGAUACACGCUUGGCCAUCAGAUCUGCCACCUCAAGGCAUAACAUUCUAGUAAGUGAGAUUGUAAGUCUCCCAUCCUUCAUGUUAUUGUGUGAAAACUUGGCCUUUUUUCCCUCCUAUGGAAGAUGUCUUAGUUCAAGGAUCCAUGCUUGUGAAUGGAUGGUUGAGUGUUCUCUAGAGAAUGACUUAAUCAAUUAAAAAAGCAAAACACUACUAACAUUCAAUUAAUCUUCACUAACAUUUGACUAACUCUUAUUAAUAUUGCUUUACUUUCAAGUCAUUUACUUUAUGCAAUUUAUUUUUUUGUCAUUUAUCAUUCAUUUCCAUUUACAUUUCAUUUAACUUGUUUAUGUUUAUGGCAUUUUCACUUUGCUCGUUUGAGCCAUAUCUUGGGAUUGUAUAUAUUGUGUUUGUGUAUUUUUCUUUUGCUUGUGGUCUUAGGACCUUAAAAUACUUAAUAAACAACAAAAACCCUAAACAAUGUUUGGUGGACUGUUGAUCUUUAUUUGAACUUUUGGACUUAGAACUAGGCAACAUUCCCUGUGCAAAAAGGACUUGGCAAAUGCCAACAUUGUAAAAUCAAGUUAUUGUGAACUGAGCCUUCAUCUGAUACAAGUCUUGAGAUUUAUUUGAAUUCAUCUGCUACAUUGUCUUGAUGCAAAUUGUUAUUUUGAUCUUGUGUCUAAUGCUUUAUUCUGAGUAAUCAAGGAGUAUUUCAUCUGAUAUAAGAGAAGACAAAGAAGAUGCUAGUUAUGGGAUUUGCUUGCUUGGAUGUGGCUAUCUUUAUUUGAUGCCUUGAUCUUCAUGAUGUCUGGUAUUGCUAAUUGUCUGCUUGAUUAUUGCUUGAUUCAAAGUCCAAAGGGAAAGUGGAUUUUCUAUAUGGCAUUCUUGUCUGUUGGAUUGCAUCCCAUUGGUCAGAUCUUUUCAAAUCUUAACUUUUAAUUUUAUGCUUUAGGAUUAGUCUCUUCAUCUCCUCCCACUUAUUAAAUUUUAAAUCUCUUCCCCUUUUCAAAAAUUUCUUUGCUUUAAAUUUCAAACUCAGACCUUAUUUCAAGUAGAAACUUUGGCCUUAUGCCAUUGAAUUUUCAAACUCCUUUUUCUUAAAUCAAACUUGUAAAUAAAUCUAUUCAUAUUGACUUAAAAUUUCAAAAGAAAAAAAUAAGUAACAACUUCAUUCAAAUUUUUGACCUCUUGUACCUUUCUUAUUAACUUUUAAUUAAAAGCAAUUCACCCAUUUUGAAAUUGUUACCAUGAACUACGAGGUUUUGAUCCCUCAUUUUUAUAUUGGUACGUAUGCACAAGUCCGAAGGUCUUGCCAAACACAAAAAUAUAAUCAAUGAAUUCUUUUCUCAUCCCGCACUCUAUUUUUCUUAAACAUCAUUUUAUACCAAAAACACAUACACACAUAAAAAAAGGGCUCCCUAGGAGUACCUAAGACACUUUGGAUGCUAACAUCUUCCCUUUGUGUAACCAACCCCUUACCUGUAAUCUCUGGCAUUUUAUAAGUUUUGAUUUGAAAACUUCUUAUCUUUGGGUUUUGUUCGUACUUUUCCCUUUUCCUUUGGAAACAAUAAAAGUGCGGUGGCGACUCUGGUUUUAUUGACGUUAAGCUUGUCCAUAGCUUGUUGGUCAUGACUUUACCGCGACAAUUACUAUGUCUAUUAUUUUUGAAAAUCUUGAUUCUGGUCAAAUGAAUUUAUACUUUUUCUUUUUGUAAGGAAUCAUAAUUCGAAGUCUUAUUUUGUUACAAAUUUAAAAUAACUCAAAAUUCUUCUAUCAACUAAAUCAUUUAUUUUAGCUAAUAAAAAAAAUAAAAAGAACCAGUGAUCAUAACAAGUCUCUAUGUGACAAUAUUUUAUACUACUCGAUAUAAACUAUGCACUUGCAGUGUAUCUGUCGCACCUCGAAAAAUGGAAUGGGGAUACGACUUUAAGCGAAGCGCGAUCGCACGCUCGCAAUGAUGGACUGAACAGAGUCGCCACCGAACUUUAUUUAUUCCUAAAAAGGAAAGGGGAAAUAUCGAUAAAACCCAAGAAACAAAACGACAAUGAUUAUGGUAGCACGCUCGCAAUGAUGGACUGAACAGAGUCGCCACCGAACUUUAUUUAUUCCUAAAAAGGAAAGGGGAAAUAUCGAUAAAACCCAAGAAACAAAACGACAAUGAUUAUGGUCGUCGCAACCAAAUCGGGGUUCGGGAGUCGAUUACGCAAGGGGAAGGUAUUAGCACCCCUCACGUCCGUUGUACUCAACGAGAACCAUUAGGUCAGUUGUGUGCGUUAAUGUUAGUUUGAAAUGUUAGGCUUUUCAGUUUAUUAGGUGGGAAAAGAAAGAAUAUAAGAGAGAAGAAUAUUUUUUGAUUUUUGACGAAGGACUAAACCUAAGUUUUUUAUUAGUGGGCCUGACAAGAUUUACAAAUCCUGCUCCUACGUAUCUCAAUAGAGAAAUCAAGGCUUACGUAGUUCUGGGUAGAAAAAUGUUUUGUUUGUUGGUCGAUUUUAGCGAAAGCUACUUUGUGUCAAAUCGACGAAAACAUUGUUGGACUACCAAAAACAGGUGGAGAAACAUUGCCUUGCAUUGUUUUGAAACAAAGUACCUUUCGUUUAAAAAAGGUUUAAGAGUCAAUCGCACGGCCGCGAGAAAAAGAAAUUGAUUGGUUUGGUGUAUUUUGAGUGAUGGCGAGAACUUGGAUGAGCGAGAUAUACAUCUCGAAUCCUAGCCUCAGGAGUGCACGGUAUACACCAUGUUCCAUUUCCCCCCAUCUUUAUUGAAAGAGGUUAAGAUAGGAAUUAAGUAUUUUGGAAUUUGAUUGAGAAAGGGUUUGAAGAAACCUCAUUGACAAUUUUAGACGAUGCGAGAGCUAAGAUAGCGAGGCUACGUCUCGAAUCUUAAUCUCAGGAGUGUACGGUAUACACCAUGUUCCAUUUCCCCUUUAUUCGAAAAAGUGUUAAAUAAGAAAUUAGGUAUUUUGAGUUUUAUUGUGAAAUGACUUGACCCUAGAAUCAAUAUUGAUGGACGUUUAAGAGAAAUUUGAAUGAGUGUUUGAGAGAAAACAAAGUGGAUAAAUUUGGAUGAUGGCGAGAGCUAGGAUUGGCGAGAUAUACAUCUCGAAUCCUAGUCUCAGGAGUGCGCGAUAUACACCACGUUCCACUUCCAUCUUAUUGAAAAGGUCUUAACUAUGAAUUAAUAUUUUUUGAGUUUUUAUUAAGAAAACUGGCUUGACAUUGAAUCAAGCGUUUGAUGAAAGUUUGAAAGAAAUGGAAUAGAAUAGAAGGGAGAAAUGAAUUGGUUUGUUUUAUUGAGAAAAUACUCGACGUUGGAUCGAGUCUUAUUUUUUGAUAUUUUUAGAAAUGGUUGAUUUUAUUCUUGUGUUAGUAGCUAAUUAAACAAUCAAGCAAUAAAGAACUAAAAUAGUAAAAUUAUUACACAUCGGGGGAGUGGGGUACAUUUUGUCAAAUGGGGAUUCAAAAUACUGGAAUAAUUAAAUCGGGCCCAAACAACAAAUAAACGUUACAUACUCACAUUCACGUUCUGAACUGUCUCAUUGUAAGAAGGCCCAAGAGUAAGCCAUGUGAAGAAAAUAACACAACAAGUUAUAUUUACAACACACUUAAAAAUUAAAUCGAAAAAAGGUCAAAUCGGGAUUUGCACGGAUAAAAAUUGAGGGACACACAAAACCUAAAUAAUGUGCUCAAAGCCGGUUUGCGCAUGUUGACAAUAAUUGAAAUGUCAUAUGCGAUUAAUCGAAACGCGGCGAAAUACUAUCAAUGUAUCGAUAAUAAUAAUCGUGGAUAAAUAACAAGAGAAUUGUCAAAUCCAUAAAUUAAAAAUCGAUGUUUAACAUUAAAAUCAACAAGUGUUUAAAAAAGGAGAAUAAAAUAAAAUAAAAUAAAUAAAUAAAUAAAAGGUUUAAAAAUAAUAAAAAAUGGUAAUAGUAAUAAAAACUAGUAGAAAAUAGAAAAUAUGUAAAAAAUGAAAAAAUGCUGAAAAUCAAGGAUCAAACCCAGAACCUUAAGUUUACCAAAGCACCCCUUUACCAACUCAGCCAGAUAGACAUCCUUGUUGUACAGUCUCAAGCGCUAACACAUAACAUAAAAAACGGACCAAGCCUUUUAAAUAAAACACAAAGUUUAAAACCAGAAUUCAAGGGCAAGCUCAGCUUAACGCACAGAGAUUGUCUUUGCGGCUCUUUUGAACAUCAAGGUUUAGCGGUAAAAAGAUAUUAUCACAAGCAGCAACACGUAUUGCUAAAUUGAAAUCAAAUUGGAACAACAACCAUGGUUCCCUCAGAAAGAUGCAAAGCAGAAUCGAAACAUAGAAAUAAAGUUCGGAAAGGAAGCUAACCGGUUGCGGCGAGCUCGACCGACGAAUGUAGGUAAACGUUGCCUUCAAUUCUCUUAUUUUCUUUUCUGAAUGGUAGCCGCCAAUCCUCUCCAAAAACUAGGGUUUUUCAGCUCUCUCCUUAUGAACAGUGGCAUCUCUUUUAUAGUCACACUACAAGGGUCUUUUGAAUUGGCCGCUGAGACCAAAGGGAUGUCAAACUUGGAAGUGCUUUUGGUGUCGCCAGUUUGUCUACCCUGUUUUGGUGUUUAUUCUGAAAAAGGUAACAUGUACCUUGUACUUCUUCUGUGAAAAUGUUUCAUUUUUGUUGCUUGUGCAUUUUUACUACCGGUAAAUGAUUAUUCACAUCUAGUUAUUUUUGCUCAUUCUUUUAAAAUUCUGUUGGUUUUCAGGUACUCGUGGUGCUUCCGUUCGCAUCCGUCUCAUACCAGCAACAAAGCCAAUAGCUUAAUUGAGAUGUAGCACUGCUUGACUGAGCUGCUCUUACCGUAGAGAGUAACAAUAUAUCGACCUCUCUACCAUUUGUAUGGAGUAAUAAUGCCAAUUCUUCCACCAAUAAAUUCAGCUGGGUAUCUUCUCUUGAAAAACUUAGUAUUUCAACCGCAACAUCAGCUUCACGUUCAUUACAAAGCGACAUUGCACCAGAGUUUCUUCAUGAGCCUCCCGACUGUCAACAACAUCGUAGAAUGCGUAAGGCCCAAGACCCUCGGUCUGAUGACAUGGUGCUGAUUUGCUAGACAUUUGGCUACCGUUUAGUAAUUUGUUGUCAUAGAAAUGCGACGAAGGAAACUUGCAUAUCUUUGGACGCAUUCUAUACUGUUCAGUAAGUAUAAUAACAGGAUGCCCACCCCUUUUGUAAAAGUCCAAACAUGCUGCACUCAUAACGAAAUUUACUUGCAAUAUUUAAUAAGACAGUUGCAGGAAGCUGCUUUGGGUCACCAACCAUAAUACAUUGGGUUCCAUUUGAUUUUAAAAGCUGAAGAGGAAUUAGAGUAGCUGACUCAAGAGCUUGGGCAACUUCAUCAAUUACAACAGCAUCGAAAAGAGCAUGUUCAAAAGGACCCCGAAACUUGGAGCGUAACAUUCUCUCGGAGCAAACUCUACUAACUGCUUUGCUAUUUCUCCUUACGGCUUUGUGAAGGAGGCCCAUUUCUGUCAGUGCUUGAUACAGGGUAAGGUGAUUUCCUUUGUUCACAGUCUCAUCAAGCAGUUAUUCAUUCAACAGUUUUUUUUUUACCACUGCCACCAAUCGAUGGUCCAUGGAAACUCCAUAAGCCACGUGAACCGUUCUAAUGGAAAGAGAUCUACGUCAGAGCUCAAGUGGAACAUCCUAUAUUUCAAUUGACUUCUGUGAAGAAGCCAGCCCAUUUCAUGAAUGAAAUCCCUAGCUUGACUUUUGGCUUUAAUUUUUCCAGACCUUCCAAUAUCUGGAAUUAGUUUCACUUAGUUCAAGUAAAGGCUCAAGCACACGAAUCUCUGAGAAAACAUCCUCCUCUGCCACUAUGAAAGGAAAGAAGCUGCUACUCAAGCCCUGGUCCUCAAUCUCAAUAAAUCCUCUUUCAUUCGUCACAGGGACCGAACAUGAAAACUGAAUGCACUGAAGUUCAUCAAGCUCUUUGGAGUAUUGAUCUGUUGACUCAUGAGCAUCUUCACACACCAGAUAGUUUCCUUCUAAAGCACACAUUAACCUUGUGGCAGGGUGCAUUAGGUUUACACUUUUAACAGAAAAACUGAGCUCUCUUUGAUGUUGGUACAACAAUUGGACUAACAGUCAAAAUCUUACUAUGAUUGUUGCUUCUAAAAGGUAGUGAUGUAUCUAUUACCUUGACCAUUGAAAAUGAAUGCCAUUUGAUGCUGCAACCUGAAAUGAACCCAUCCAGUUCUCCAAAAUGUAUUAUCCGAGACAUCGAGCAGCUUACUCAAACUGGCAGUUAGAUCACAGCACAGAUCGUCCCACACAGCCUCAAAUUCACUUUUAAUUAGACUUGAGAAAUUCUGAAUAAACUGAUUCAAACAUUUCAGAGCCUCCAUUCUGAUGCUCCAAUCAUCUGGAUUUUCAGACUGAACUGGAAUUUCCAGCAUAGAAGAAAAUCGCUCCAUCCAUGGUUUAAACAAAGGAACUACUAGAGAACCUGUUUCUGCAUUAUAAACACCACUCAUCGCCCCCCAGCAUAGAUGUGCAAGAAUAGACUAUUGAAAGGGCCUUGGUUCGUAUGUAUGUAUCAUAUAUCUGCGGAGAGGAUACAAUGGUCAGCAAACUUGGGAACAAAGCAGGUAUUAAUGUCGGAACCACUCUAUCAUCCAAAUCGGCAGAGAGAAGAACCAAGCGUUUCAUAGCUCCAUGCACUCCAUUCAAGUUGGUUUGAUUGUUUCAAUGAGGUAAUUGCAGUUUCCAGUUCAAUCAAUUUUCCUUGGAGAACUAUACAUUUGGCUUCAGCUUCUACAUUUGAUAAAAACAGUCCUGCACCAUCUCUACAAACACUUUCCAUCAACUGCCCCAGCCUUACGACCUUAAGCCGACACUCACUUUCAUGCAAGCAAGAAGAAUUGCUGACAUUUUCUGUCCUACUCUUGUGUUCCUUAAGCUUUGAUAUUGUUACACUAUUUUGAUCAAUUAGUGCUUUACACUGAGCAGUGUACACUGCUAACUCAGACUUUAAGUAGUCAAGACUUGUGGACAAUGUCAUUUCUGAAUUUCCGACAGCAACUAAAAGCUUCAGGUGAUAUCCAUACAAGGAAAUCAUCAAGCCAUGAGGCAGCAGGUUUGGCAGUGUAGCUUGACUUCGGUACCAAUGAUGCUCUAGAUAUCACUUCUUAUAACACAAGAUGAGCAGCUCAUUUAAAAGGGAAUUUGAAUCACAGUUGCUAAUGGAGCAUAGCUGGUUUGUAUGUUUCCAUUCCAAACUGUAAUUGUAGUCUUUCACAACAAAAUACAAUGGUGGUCCCACUCCGAGGUACUCAGAAAUGACUCUAACCCACUUUGGUUUGUACAAUCACCCUUGACUAUGCCAACAGAGUUUCCAUUAUUCAUAACAUUAGAAGGAACACGGUUCGCAUUAGCCGCAGUUGACAUUUCCCGUUGUGCAACACUGGUUUUUAUUUGGAGCAAACACAUCGGCAGAAGUUGGAGAGUUGUAAUAAGAACAAGGAUACUGAUACUGUUGCAGCCCAUACAGCUGACCAUCAUGUUGAAACAUUGGAGAGGAGGAAUUGGGUGAAGCAUACGCUCCAUAUGGUGUAUAUCCAUAACCUUGAUACAUAUAAGAGCAGUUAUCCCCAUAAACCCCUUGAGCAGCCCACUCUGAUGCAACUGUANNNNNNNNNNNNNNNNNNNNNNNNNNNNNNNNNNNNNNNNNNNNNNNNNNNNNNNNNNNNNNNNNNNNNNNNNNNNNNNNNNNNNNNNNNNNNNNNNNNNNNNNNNNNNNNNNNNNNNNNNNNNNNNNNNNNNNNNNNNNNNNNNNNNNNNNNNNNNNNNNNNNNNNNNNNNNNNNNNNNNNNNNNNNNNNNNNNNNNNNNNNNNNNNNNNNNNNNNNNNNNNNNNNNNNNNNNNNNNNNNNNNNNNNNNNNNNNNNNNNNNNNNNNNNNNNNNNNNNNNNNNNNNNNNNNNNNNNNNNNNNNNNNNNNNNNNNNNNNUGAAUUUCCGACAGCAACUAAAAGCUUCAGGUGAUAUCCAUACAAGGAAAUCAUCAAGCCAUGAGGCAGCAGGUUUGGCAGUGUAGCUUGACUUCGGUACCAAUGAUGCUCUAGAUAUCACUUCUUAUAACACAAGAUGAGCAGCUCAUUUAAAAGGGAAUUUGAAUCACAGUUGCUAAUGGAGCAUAGCUGGUUUGUAUGUUUCCAUUCCAAACUGUAAUUGUAGUCUUUCACAACAAAAUACAAUGGUGGUCCCACUCCGAGGUACUCAGAAAUGACUCUAACCCACUUUGGUUUGUACAAUCACCCUUGACUAUGCCAACAGAGUUUCCAUUAUUCAUAACAUUAGAAGGAACACGGUUCGCAUUAGCCGCAGUUGACAUUUCCCGUUGUGCAACACUGGUUUUUAUUUGGAGCAAACACAUCGGCAGAAGUUGGAGAGUUGUAAUAAGAACAAGGAUACUGAUACUGUUGCAGCCCAUACAGCUGACCAUCAUGUUGAAACAUUGGAGAGGAGGAAUUGGGUGAAGCAUACGCUCCAUAUGGUGUAUAUCCAUAACCUUGAUACAUAUAAGAGCAGUUAUCCCCAUAAACCCCUUGAGCAGCCCACUCUGAUGCAACUGUACGAUGAAGUGGGUAGUUGAUGUAUUAAUGGCAACAGGAAGUUCACAUAUCCCAUACCUUUAAGCAAACAACUUGGACACCUGCUCACGGAAUCCAGCAGGAUCAGGUUUGGCAGAAUCUACAAUGUUUAACUCUUCCCGGUUUCCAACUAGCAGACUAGGACCCUUAUUGUCUCUAGAUAGCCUCAAUUUAUCUUCCUUUCCGGCAUUACUAGCAGAUAAAGCAACAGGAUUCUUGAUCAUCUCAAUGAGUUGUCGCAACGAUUCGGGGUAUCCAUGCUUUGUAGUAAGCUUUGCCAAAGCAUCGAUAAGAUUGCGAUGUUCUGAAACAACUUUUGGUUCGUCAAUGAGCAAGGUUUGAAGAAAAGAGAUUGAAAACUCCGUAGCAACCUUGUUUCUUCCCCCGUCAAUAAGUUUUGCCAAAACCUCCAGCACCGAGUAUAUUCUUGGAGCUGAAACUAUCCGUUGCAUGUUGGAGCUCUCUGACACCAAGAUUUUUAAGAUUCCCUAAGCUAACAACAACCUCCUAUUUAUAAUCACCAAUAUACAAGAUGGCUCCAUGCCGGUUCCAACGUAGGUUCCUCUUCUUCAGGAUCAUAUGCUUCCGCAAGCUUACCAUCAUGAUUCGAACACGGUAGAGUUCGAAACAAUUUUGUCGCUGCCAUCUUAGUGAUCUCCUGCACUGUCGCUUCACUGAACUUUGAAUUCACAUCUGAAAUAUAAUCAACAAGUUCAAGCAAAGUUUGCCUCUCUCCAAUGAUACGAUCCCUGUUCCUUCUACUACCGGCAAGAACUUUUGGUAUUUUCCUUUAUGUUGUAUAGGCUUUUCUCCUGGCAAUUUCUUGUCAAAUAUCCCAUCGCUAGCUGUGGCAGUUGCUGCAAUUCCUGCUGCAUUGCCCAAUUCAUCCUUGACAGCUUUCUUUGGUGUUGCCUAGGUUAAUUGCGAGAGAACAACCGAUUAUGGAAUAGACGGAAGACAUGAUAGCUGCCACUAUCGAAAGUAAACAUGUUUCAUGAAACUCAGGAAUUUGAGAAGCGGAAAUUCGAAUCACUCCAAAACCGCUUCAGGUAUUGAUGCUUGAAUCCUACAUGGAUCUUUUCCUCCCGCUUUAUGAAAGGCAUCUGAUCUUCUUAUUUCCGUCAUUGCCAAGAAUCGAUUUUGACACAGUUUCUACACUCUUUGGUCUGCUCUUUGGAGUUUUUGCAGUACGCUUUGCUAACAGGUCGUAUGCGAAUAUCCUUUCUGUCAGGUCUUAGAGUACUCUCCUCCGCAGUAUGUUAUGUUGAAUUGGUUAAACUCAUUCGCAGGCCAGCUUCAUAUGCGAAUCACAUCAUUGUUGAUUUGUGCUUCGUGCAUUACAGUCGCCACUGUUGGGUUACUGAUAUUUCAUAGUACUGCAAUUUUCUUCUUGUGGAAAGUAACCUGCUUUGCCUUCAUCUUGCAUGUUCUUCGCAUCAACUUGUUUCCACAAAGAACAAUUGGGGAUGUUUUCAUCAGACAUGACAAAGAUCACAGUGCCAAGUAGGGACAUCCUUGUAUGUCAGCCAUGCAGUAACAUCAAACAUUAGAAAUAGCACACUGUCCAUGAAUAUAGUAUCCAUCUCUAAGACCACCGAACUUCUCUCGACCAGCAGUAUCCCAGCAGUAGCAACGAAUCUUACCACAGUUUGUGAAGAAAUCCAAUGGAUGCACUUCAACACCAAUGGUUGGUUCAUAUUUCUUCUCAAAUUCUCCAGUAAGAUACCUCUUUACGAAAGUUGUUUUUCCUGUGCCACCGUCGCCGACGAUCUCAAGCUUGAAACUAGGAUGAUCAACUGUUUGCUGAUUAGGCAACUUAAGAAAAUCAGGAUUUGUUUUUCCUGUGCCACCGUCAACGACGAUCUCAAGCUUGAAACUAGGAUGAUCAACUGUUUGCUGAUUAGGCAACUUAAGAAAAUCAGGAUUUGUUUUUCCUGUGCCACCGUCAACGACGAUCAUAAGUCUGCAUCAAAUAUUGCAACAAGUUCAUAGCCUUUCACAUAGUCACAUCUCGUUGCAGAAUUAAGAUUUCCAGCUUCAACACCAACGCUUUAUCAUCUAUUGUCGCGAAAUCGACGGUAUAGCAGGCAUGACAACUGGGACUGGUUUGGCUGUGCCUGAGAAGCACUGCUGUUAUUUUUUAUAUGUUUGGAAAUGAGGCAGGUCUCGGAAUGCAGCUUGUGGAAUUGGCGUUGUCGUAAUGUUCGAUUUCAAUCUGGUCUAGGAAUCCCAAGGAAACAAACUGUAAGCUUUUGUUUAUGCCUUCCGUGUGUAUCAUAGACUCGGUGAAUUUACGGCUGAAAUUGUUGAGUUGAUACCGUUUGAGGAUCCGGGUCCAUGGCCUGUAUUGACUCUAGAUGAUGAAUCUGAGUUUUCCUCCGUUGUGCGCUAGGUUUAAUUCUGCAAUGCUUCAAGGUGCCAGGGCAUAGGCCAUAGUUUACAAGAAUAUCCAGUUUCCUUGCCAAGGGACUCCUUUCGUAAGGCACCUUUGCUUGGAAACGAACCCAACCGUACCAGCACUUGGCGGAGUAUUUCAAUCCACGUAAGAGGACUUAGUGAUCUUUCCAAACAUUGAGGGAUAUUCUUGACUUUCAACUGAGGUGAAGCCAAUGCCAAGAAAGUUGCAUGACUUAUUUAAAUGAGGACAAAACCCUUAGAAAGCUCUACUUCAAUGUGAGAUAGAAGCAGUGUGAGAGGGUCCUUUGGUCAUGAAUGAAUGAUUGGAAUAUGAAUGAUUAUGUGGGAACCUUUAAAUAUGAAUGAAUGAAAAAUCUCAAUGUAAAAAUGAAGAAAAUAUGAAUGCAAACUUAAAAAUGUGAAAAAAUGUAAAAAUAUGAAAUAGUAAAUAUGAACAUGAAUGAAGGAUAUGAAGGUGAAUGAAGAAAGAAUGCAAACGAGUGAUUGAUGGGGAAAAAAUUUCAGGGUCAAAAUCGGGGUAUGACAGUAUCACACUACACUUGCAUUUUUAGUCCAACAAUGGUGUUAUUGCGGAGAAUUAUUUAUUGUUUCAACAAAGAAAAAUCAGGUGAUUAUACUUUAUUUAUGUUAUUAUAUUUUAUUUUAUUUUAUUUUUUAUUUUUUAUUUCUAUUUUAUCUUAUACUACUAAAGGUAUCUUUUUAUUUAGUUUAUGUACAAUGCAGAUUUCGAUGAUUGACAAUUUGAUCCAAAAAUAAAAGAGAUCGUUAAAGCAAUCUGAAAAGUCACUCAUUUAACUAAAUAACAAGAUAGUGGCUCACCUAAAACAACUCCACCAGAAUCACCUAGAUAACCUACAUAUAUUUUAGAAGACUUUGGGCAACAAUUGUUUGAAUAAGAUGUUUGCCUAUGUAUGGGUUCCAACUGGCAAACCCAAGAUUCUUUACAUUAACGUUUAUGUGCUUGCAAGUUUGUGAGAAAUUCACUUUGGUGAAAGCACAUCAAGAGACGUUGGAAGACUUUAACCAAAAAGUUGGAUAAGCUUUGUACUUGAUUGGACAUGUCAAUAAAACAUCUUUAUGCAUGAGAAAUCAUUCGUUGAAGCUCAGAAAACUAUAAAGAGAUUUUUCCUUAAUUCUUCAUGUUAAUAAAAGAUCUUUGAGUCUGUCAUAGUUUUCUCGAUUGAAGAGAUUAGACAACCUUUAGAUUCGGGAACCCACGUUCUGAUCCUUCAGAGGUUGACUUUCUUCAAACUUCACUCUUUGGAGGAUGAUCUCUUCAAAGUCUGCUUCUUGGCUUAUGAUGUUGUAGAGUCUGGAUCACCAGAGACUGACUUUCUUUAGAUGUUGACUUCUUUAGAGUAUUAAUCUUCCAUCAGAGCCAGAGUCUUCAGAAGUGAUCUUCAAAGCCAGAGUCUGAAUUUCAGAUUCAGAAUCUUUAAGCUUCUCUUCAUUUGUUGUUAGUCUUAUAAUUCUGCAUACUUAAAAAGAUGUUAGAAUACCUAAUUGUUCUUUAAGUACUUUGUUAUCAUUAAAACCUAUGGGAUAUGAUAUCAACCAAUUUUGUUCCCACAAAACUUUGUCAACAUGUUCAAAAUACGAAGAAGAUCGCACCGUUAAAUUGUCAAUCGGUGUAGGUUUGACCUUCUUUGGGGCACCUCUAUUUUUACCAGUGGAGAUGGUGGUUUCAAGUCAGUGGUUUCAAGAUAAGUAAUCUUCCUGAAUUUUUCUUUGACUUCGAGUUUCAUAUUUUCAUCGGCUUUCAAAAAUAUCUCUUAUAUCACUUUCCAUUCAAUCAAGAUAGAUAUAUUCGAUUCAUCGUCUUUCAUGACACCGUCAUCAUCAAACCUAAGCAUUUUCCAGUGACUGCAAACUUCAUCCAUUCUUAACGGGCUACCAAGUUUCACCUUACUUUUUUAUAAUACAAGCACAUGGGAGAUCAUGGGUUUUCACAAUUGUGCAACCAUACAUUGUGUUAUCGCAACCUAUAUUAUCAUAUCGUUUAGCUUCGUGAAAAAUAUAAUUCAAACUUGCUCGAGAUAUGUUGUCGACCCACUGAGAAUAAAGAUUGUUGUCUUUAAAUUUGUGUUCCAAAACUAUGAUGCUCCGACCAAAUGAUGUUUGUAUCUUAUUAUGUUUGUUCCAGAUCAUUUGGUUCACAGAGUCUCAAUCUCUACACAAAUCGCCCUUAAUUUUUCCCAACCAAUUCUUCAAUGUAGCAUGGGAAAACUCAACUAAGUUUGUUGUUGUAUUCUCAAGGUGUCUAACCUGAUCAGUCCAUGCACACACAAUUUUCUCCUUCACCUGGUCCAGAAUUGUGCUUUCAACAUAUUUCAACAAAUCUGGAUAUUUCUUGCACACCUUCCUGAAAUGUAUAACGGAAUCGGCAUAUAACUUUUUAGUAGAAUAAUUUACUAUAACCGCCCAUGCAUCCAUUAUUUUUUCCACUAUCACACCUGCCUUCACCAUUUUUCCAUCUCCGGUCUUUAUCUGUUUCGUCCCUACCGUGGGUUUAACCCGACUUCUCACAUGAUUUGUUAUGUGAUACCUACAAAGUAAUUCAUAAGAAGUAGGGAAUACCUUUGCAAUCAAAUUCAUCAAAGAGGUAUCGCAGUCGGUAAUAAUUACUUUUGACAUCUCUUAUUAGUCCUUCAACAUUGCCCGACAUACCUCUAAGGCCCAAGUAACAUUCUCCUCAUUUUUGCUCUCUAAAAAUGAAAACCUGACAUAAUAGAUCUUCUCGGUAGAAGUAACAUCAACCUUCUCCAAAGAUGGAAGUUUGUACUUAUUGGUCUUGUACGUUGAAUCAAUGAUGAACAUAAUAGGAAAAGUGUUGAACAACUUUAUGAAAUGAGGAUGAUUCCAAAAUAUAUCUCUAACGAUACUCCAUCUUCGUAUGUUUGGUACCUGGAAACAUAAUUGUUAUCAUCCAAAAGUUUCAAUAGUUGUUGCAUUUCACUUCUAUCCCCAUCCCUUAUUGCCUUGUUAUUUUGGUACCGAAUAUUAUACACUUGCUUGAUAUUUGAGAUAUUUUCGGGUCUUUUAUGUUUCAAAGUUGCAAGUAUAUUUUUUGUUUGAACCAAAUUCAAUGACAUGUCUGAAACGCAUUCACUCUCUUCUGGCAUGAGGUGACACACAAUUGGAUGACCUGUUAACUUUUCACACAAGUCAUGGUUAUGUAAACCACAUAUGACAUUAAAUCUCCAUUUCUUAUUUGUCAACAUAUAACCAUGCAACUUAAAAGGACACUCAUAUAUCAAUAUAAAAAAUAUAUUUGUUGACAAAAAAUAUGGGUCAACAAAAAAUAUAUUCUGGAGAUGCAUCUCCGGAAUAUCCACUGAAAUGCUCAAAUAUCUAUAUAUUUGUUGAAAAUACCCGGAGAUGUAUCUCCAGAAUAUAUUUUUGUUUUAAUCUAGGGUGGCACUCAUUUGGUGCGUCAUAAAAAUGGUGCAUAAUGCAUGUUCGAAGAUGUAUCUCCGGAAUUUGAGGGUCAUUUUUAGUUUUCUAUAGGGUGUUUUUCCACCCCAUAUGAUGGGAUAAGAAAUUCCCUAGAUUCCUAUCAACAAACAUGAUUGAGGCUUCCACAAAAUUCUUUAAAAUCAUAGAGCAAUCAAGAGGUAUGGGUUCUAAAAAUGGAAAAAAAAAACAUUGAUUGAGUUCAUGCAAUCGUCCAUAACAAGGGCUUCGGAUUGAACCAUUAUCCUUUUUAGGUUUAACUCUAAUGCUAGCUUAAUUCCCCACCUGAUAGCUAAAGCAUAACACUCAGACCAACAAAACUUUCUAAUUUCUUGCUAGAGAGCAUAAUUAUCUUCUUCUCACGAUCAUUAAAUGCCUCAAGAUUCCGGAGAUGCAUCUCUGGAUGCACCCAAGUCUCAGCUAAUGUUAAAAUAUUCCGGAGAUGCAUCUUCGAACAAUGUUUCAGAGAUGCAUCUCUGGAAUGUUUGGAGCUUAAAUCACGCCAGAACCAUUUUCAUUUCUCAUUUAUGAUAUUUCUCAAAAACACUUCAAACUCUUUUAAAAAUUUUAUCAUCAACAAGUCCAAAAUCAGAAAACAAAGCUUAAGGGAACUUCAAUCAACAUCAGAAACAUCAUCCAACACUGAAGUAAAAUUGAAAUUUGUAAGUUUUUUAUCUUUUGAAAAGUUUGAGCUUUUGUGUAAAUGAGUUGAAAUUGAUUAUUAAGGUUACAAAUGAGUAUAAAUUGCAUGUAUGAUAGUAUAGAUAAAGUUUAAAACAUGUUUGUUGGCUGAAAAGGAUGAUCAAAACAUUAUUUUUGUGAUUGCAUGUGUACAUUGGCGCCAUUAAUGCCGUUUAUGUUGCAAAAAAAAUGGGGAGAUGCAUCUCCAGAAUUUCUCUGUGUUUCUUUUUCUUGCUUGUAGUGUUGCUUGAUUGCACUAAUUUUCUGCUUUAUUUUAUCUUUCAAGCAUUAUGGCUGAUAGACACGAUAGACUGCGGCACGAGAGGGUUGUACAACAUGCAUCAGUGCUGCAGGAAAAAAGACAAGUUUUUGAGGCUCAUGUUCCCUCUGUCCAUGCAGAGGGAUCCACUUCUAAGGCUCGUGCUUCUCCUCAUGCUUAUCCAUCUUCUUCUUCCCGUAGGAGAUGGGUUUCACCUACGAACGUAUCAUUUCUCCAUCCUCACGCAGGUGUCGGGUUUCACCUUAUCAUACCCCAGAGGUAUUCGAUUCACUACUGCUCAUAUUUCUGAUGCUUUUGUGCCAGUGCCACCUUCUAAUGUUGAUGUUGAUGAGCCAGUGCCAUCUCCGGAUGGUGAGGUUGCUCAGGAUGUUGAGCCAGAGGCAUUACGAGGAGGCCUUAUAGAGUUGUCACUACUGCCUCUGUACCCAGACUAUAUUGCCAAAUAUAUCUGAGACGGAGAGGCAACAUUAGUUGAAAUCAUUCUUUUUAAUUUACGUUUAUUUUAAUUGACAAGUUUCUGAUGUUGAUUUUUAUUUUCUACAGGAAUGUGAUCUGUUGAAGUUUAUUAACCAUUGGCGGAAUACUACUGGCUUGCCUCAGCUGAACGAGGAUUGGUUUCAGGCAGCUUUAUCCAUAUCUGAGAUGAAGGAUUUGUGCAUGAUGGCUUAUACUACGGUCAACCACAGGAUACUUAAUGCAUUCGUGGAGAGAUGUCACUUUGAUACCUCGUCAUUUCACCUCCCGCUUGGUGAGAUGUUUACCACACUUGAUGAUGUGUCAUGUUUUUUACAUCUUCUGAUCAGGGGGAGACUCCUAGAUCAUUAGAGGAUUACCAAAGACGAGGUACUCGAGAUGAUGGUAGACUAUCUUGUGGAUGACCCAACGGGGGAGAAGGAGUAGUUGGAUAGGACCAGGGGGUUCAUGCUAGGUUUGAAUACCUGAAAAAGGUAUAUACAUAUGAGCUCUAGAGAGCACAUCAGGCUAUAGGUGAUGACGAGCAGGUGGGGCUCCACAGAGUGCAUGUUAUGAGAGCAUACCUGCUAUAUUUGGUUGACACUGCGAUUUUUAUGGACAAGAGUGUCACUCAUACAGAUGUCAUCUACCUAAGGUACUUCCAUGAUUUUGAGAAGAUCCGCGAGUACAACUAGGGGGCGCUUGUUUGGUCUACUUGUACUCGAAGUUAUCAGAGGGGUGUAGGUGGAAGACGAAGUAGGUCACAAGAAGCAUCACACUACUAACGAUAAUAUUUACUGGUCUUUUAAUCUUUUUGUGUCAUUUUCAUUUCAUCUUUACAACGCUAUUACUUAUGAUUCGCGUGUUCCAAACUUUUCAUGCUCGGAUCCACCAACACUUCUCGCGCAUCUCUGGUUGGGCGAGUGUACCGACUUAUACUGAGGAUAUGUCGCAUGCUACUGCAUUUGCCCCGCUUAAAGGGAACCAGACGAUUGAGUCGUUUAGAGUGUAUCUUGAUCGCUUGGUUGCCGAGGACAUGCACUUUAACAACUAUGUUGAUCACCGUGAGACGCAACCAUUUUUGACGAGAUAGUGUUAUACUCUAGAUGGUUGGCAUGCAGAUGACGUCUCACUGCUUCUCAUUUGCUCGAGCACGUUAUGCGGCAGUUCAACUACACUUAGACCACUCUAAGACACCCCAUUGUAUAUGUUCCUCCUGCAUUGACACGUAGACAGAUGGAUGACAUGUUUGAUGAUUAUGAGAGUCAUUUGGUAUUGAAGGAGGCACAAAGUACCAUAGUCCUGAGCGACUAGAGCUAUGUGGACAGAUACCUCAGGUGGUUCUUCAGGGUGUCACAUUUGUAUAUGGUGCAUGUUGAUCCAGGAGACCCAUCAAGGUCAACUCAUCAAGAGAUACUAGAGGAGGAGCAUGCACAAUUAGAUCAUGUUGAGGAUGUUUUGCCUAGAUGUCGUCACAUUAUGGAGAUUACAUAGACAAACAUUGACAAAGGUAUCUUCCCUGAUGGAUCUGAUGUGAGGCAGAUUCUAGAUGCCAUCAUGACAAAGGCACGAGGGGCAUUGAUGUACUAGAGACAACGACGAAAGAUGAAGGGAUUGAUGGUCAAAGAGGCAGAGGAGAUAUGGUCUGACAUACACGGUAGUGCAGUAGUAUAUACUAGUUGUAUUGUGGAAUGUAUUUUAGUUUCACCUCAUGCUAUUUUAUCAUUGUAUUCAAUUUAUUUAUAUAUGACAUUUGGACCAUCUUGGAGUUAUAUACGUCAUUUUUGCAUGUGGACUUGUUGGAUUUUUUCUCCGAGAGUAAAGUUAUGUUAAGUUAACAAGUCAAUAUGAUAAACAAAUGAGUAUAAAGGGGUUAAUAGGUUAGUAUAAACCAUAAGGAAAUAUAAUGUAUCAGAUGAAUCCAAGCUAACAAGAUAAGACUUCAUCCAUAAGUCAAAUGACCAAGUUAUUUGAAGUAUGGGUGACCAAUCCAUACUUCAAAGUACCAUGGAUGAACGCACGGUCAUCCAAUGGUAGGUUUGAAGUAUGGAAGAUUUUAAUCAACCCUAAACCAAACAUGCCAUGACUUAAGUAGAUUUCACGAGUCCAUGAGUUAAAGACUUCAAAAGUCCACCAAAAAUAAUUCAAAUGAAAUAAAAAAAAGUCACCAAUAAAUUUUAGAGACAAAAAUAAAGGGGGUUUAUGUUCAACAUAUUUGAAAAUAAUAAAAAUGAAAGGGUUAAGAAAAUAAAAGUAGAAAGAAAAUAAAUAAAUAAAAAUAACAUAAGUAUGAAAAAUAAUGAGAGUCGGCACACAUUAGGGAUUGAACAUCUAACCUUGGGGUUAUGGGGGGACCAACCCCCUCACCCAAUGGGCCACAAGCCCGGUUGUGAUAUCAAAACACAUUAAUAGAAUAAAUAAUAAAAAAGAAAAACAAAAGAGAUUCGCGCGCCAGCCAACAAAUCAGAGUGUGACAACUAUCUUGUUUGAAUUCAAAACACACGCCAAUGGUUGUCUUCAACCUCAACCACUACAGAAUCCAAACUCAAAAACAAAAGUUUUCAAUCAGAUUCAAGCAUCAAGGUAGCUUGUACGAUUAACAACAAAACAUUCUCCCCAAUCAUAAGCCACUUAUUGGCUCUGAGUGGGGAAUAUUUCACCAUGUUCUCAACUUUAGCUUGACCAACGGGCAUUAUGGCUUCAACGACAAUCUAUGCUCCACAAUCUCAGAAUCCAAACCAGACAUGUCUUGAUAGGACCAAGCAAACACAUCAGAAUAAUCUCGAAGAAGAUCAAGCAACCCCUUCUUAGCUUCUGGACCCAGUUGAUAACCAAUCUUGACUUCCUUCACAUCGUCAUUAGAGCCCAAAUUGACUAAUUCAAUAUGCUCUUCAAAUUGUUGAAUGACUUUUUCCUUGUGCUCAAGCAAACGGGAUAACUCAUCAGAUACUUUUUCAUCAUCAAUCUCUUCCUCUACUUCAAACAAGAGGAAAUCAAAGUUUGGAGAGGGAGUAGGAUCAUUGUAUUCAAUGGGUUUGAGAACCAACCUGCAUAAUGGUUUGAUAUUUUGAUUUUAGAGAAGUGGAGUGCAAAAAAAUAUUAUGCAGAUGGAAAUAUUAUUAUUUAUUUAUGUUUUUUGUGAUUACCAUUUUCAGAAAAGGCAAAAGGUAAAAAUAAAAUAUCAUAGAUGUGGAUGAAUAAAAUUAUACUUUAUUGGUGAUAAUAAGAAAAGUGCCCGACAAUGUUCACUUCUCCUUUACGCAUAGGAGAAGGAUUUUUCUGAAAAUAAUAUAAACAAAUUACUUCGAACGGUGCAUAACAACUGAAACAUCAACAACAGCCCGGUUGUUGCAAGUCUGGUCAUGUGUCACAAAGUUGGCGCAAGCUUCGUCUUCGUCAUUGUCUUUUAUAAUGGAAGCUGAGUGUUGAUCAUUCUCAUGAAUGAACCCUCCACUGCUGAAUACUGGUUGCAUAACCUUGACAUCGACGUUGAAUGGCCCUGGAUGAAAUCCUAGCCCUACCUUGUUCUUAUUCUCAGUGGUUUUCACAACACGACCCCACUUAUCAAUACUGCAAUCUGGAAUAGCCUCUUGUGCAUCUUUUAAAGAAGACAUGGGUGCCCCAGCUUUCUUUAAUUCAUCAGCAAAGGAAAAAGCUUGGAACGGUGUUCCAACUUCCUCCUCAGCAUCAACGUAAGUGAAAGAUGACAAAUGGCUUACCAACAAUGCCUUCUCUUCACCAACAACAACAAGCUUGUUAUGAAAGAUGACAAAUGGCUUACCAACAAUGCCUUCUCUUCACCAACAACAACAAGCUUGUUGUUCUUCACAAAUUUCAUCUUUUGGUGAAGAGUAGAUGUCACAACUCCAACUUCAUGAAUCCAUGGCCUUCCCAAUAAGCAGUUAUAGGUUAGAUUGAUAUCCAUUACCUGGAAAGUAAUUUGGAAAUCCCUCAGACCUAUCUUCACCGGAAGGUCUACUUCUCCAAUGACAGUUUUACGAGAAUCGUCAAACAUUUUAACAACCACACCACUGAACCUCAUUAGGGCGCCUUGAAAGGAGAGUCUUGAUAGAGUUGACUUUGGCAACACAUUCAGCGAUGACCUAGUGUCAACCGACACAUUGGACAGAGCGUCCUCCUUGCAAUUCAUUGAAAUAUGCAAUGCCAAAUUAUGAUUCAUACCUUCCUUAGGAUGUUCUUCGUCAUAAAAGCUCGGAUUGUUACAUGAAGUGAUUUUGGCAACAAUGUGGUCAAACUGAUCCAGAGUAACAUCGUGUUCAACAUAAGCAUGUUCCAACACUCUAUGCAAUGCCUCUUUGUGCGCCUCAUAAUUCAUCAAUAGUGAUAACACACAAAUCUUUGAUAGCGUUUGGAGCAGCUGCUCAACAAUGUUAAAUUCACUUCUCUUUAUCAUGCGUAACAUUUCAUCAUCAUUGUUAGCCUUCAAUUUGCUGGAUUCACCAGACUGACACAUUGGAGUGCUAACUGGAUUCACUGUAGUAAUCUCUGCCUUCUCCCCUACGGAAACAUCUUCCACAACUUUUGGAAACACUAGACUGAAUACACGACCACUACGGGUCACCUUCGCAAUAUCCGUAAUAUUCACCACUGAGUCUGCAACUGGAAGAGGAACCUUUUGACUAUUUUCAACCAUUAUGGCAUUAUACUAGUAUGACACAGCUUUAUCGGAUGAAUAGGGGACGGGGCCCGUUAACCGUAUAACCAACGGCGAUACUGAUAUGUUGACAUUAUUGCUAUUGCUGUUAUCGAACUGAAUAACCACCCGUUCCAGGGUUUUGAACACUGGCACGAUGACGUUCAAAUCAUCUCCCAUAUCCCUUGACUAUUGAAUCUGGAUUACAUUCUCAUCCAUCAACUUCUGAAUAUCUCUUUUGACAAUCAUACACUCAUUGGGGUUCACACUGCAAAUGACACAACCAUCAUGGUCAUGUUCACAAUCAUACGCCUCGCAUCAAAAAAUUUGAAAUUCCCAGGACAACUAUCCACCAUGUUGACAAGAGCAUUACCAUGAGCAGGCAACAUAUUGGCUUUUACAUUUGGCGCUCUGUCCUCAAAGGACACCAUACCAUUCUUCACAGGCUUCUGAACUUCAUACUUCAAAGGGUAAUAGUUCUCUAUAUCAUGACCAGGGGCUCCCUGGUGAAAAGCACAAUGAAGAUCAGGCUUGAACCACCAUGGCAGUGUAAGACCCUAAUUUUGACCCUAAGAUCCCUCAUGGCAUCAUAUAAUUGCUCAUUGCAUUACCUCAAGGAUCAUAGCAUGUGUGGCUCCUUAACCCUAGGGUUAGGACUUGCGUGAGUUGGUUUGAAUCCACCAGGCAUGCUUGAAUUUUAUAUUAUUGCUUUUCUUAUUUUGCUUACUAACCAAAAGCACAAAAAUAUGUCACUAACUUGUUUUGUUUUGAAGCUUAAGCAACCAUGAGAUCUAAGGUUCCUAGGAGGCCCCUAUUGUAACACCCCAAUUAAAAUAAGAUAAUUAUUUAAUUUAAAUUAAUAUUUUAUUUAUUAAUUUAAUUGAAUAAUUGGAAGUUUGGAUUAUUAUCAUUAUUUUGGAAUAAUAAUUAUUGGGUUAUUAUUUUAUUGGAAUAAAAUAAGUAUGGAAUAACAAAAGUCCCCAUUUGUGGUAAAAAGUGGUUUCAGCGUGAAAAGGCAACAGAGAAGCGGCUGAAAGUGGGAAAGACAGCAAAGAGGCAGAGCAAGAGAAGAGGAAAGCUUUGAAGCUAACGAAGUGCACGGAUUAAUCGAGGUAAGGGGGGUUUCAUCGAAAACGGGUAUAUGGAGAUGAUAUGUACUGGGUAGUGAGAAACUAUUGUUUUACCUCUGAUUUGAUUGAUGCAUGCUGAAAUUGGUAGAAUAUUGGAUGACGGAAUUGGGAUUAAAUUGAUGAAAUUCGUAGGCAAUUAGAGGUAGAAACGUUAGAAAAUUUUGGAAUCGAAAGUGUAUCAUUCGUGUUAGAUGAGAUGAAUGAAUUAUGUGUGAAAUUUGGACUGUGGAAGGUUGGAUUGGGUAGAUCUCGUAGCAGAGAAAGCCAUUGCAGAUCUGAGAGUUCUGGUCUCUGGUCAUACGCGUAUGGCACUAGGCAAUACGCGUAUGAGAUGGCUGGUACGCGUAUGGCACUAGGCAAUACGCGUAUGGAUGAGGAAGAUGAUGUUUGAACGUGUUUUGGUCUCUGUUGGUACGCGUAUGAGAAUGUGAUACGCGUGCAUACGCGUAUGGGCGUGGGCAUUACGCGUAUGGAUUUGGUCAGGCGUGGGCAAUACGCGUAUGGGCAUAGGCAAUAGCCGUAUGGGCAGAAUGUGUGUAUUUUCUGUGCUGUUGUUGUGCAGUUUUGGUUGUUAGACUGAGUGUUUGUAAUCAGCUGAUGUAUGACAUAUUAGGGAUCAUUUCCCGUGGCUUUGAGUAGUAUAGGUAUUAGUAGAGUGUACUAAUACUGUGGUUGUUGUUUGGCAUGAUCUGAUAUGCUUAUGUGAUAAAAUAUUGAGGAUGUCUGAUGAUAUGCAUAUUGUUGUGAAUGUAUAUAUUAUGCAUGGCAUAGCCUUGGGGCUGUAGCUAAUUCUCAUGGUGAGGAAUUAGUGAGUGAAUCAUUGUGGAUUUGUUGUUGUAGUUUGCAUGCUAGAUGAUUAGUGUGCAUAGUCUAGCCUUCGGGGCUGUAGCUAAUUCCCAUGGUGAGGAAUUGGUGAGUGAGUCAUUAGAUCUCAAAUGAGUGGGACUAGUGAGCUUAGUAGCCGUAUCUGGAGUUGAUCAGUGAGCUUGAACUAUAUGUUCGAGAAUAGUCGGUACCGCAUGUGUGGAGUCUCAUUGCAUAAUGAAUGUAUGGCAUAUAAUAUGAAUGAUGUAUUCCAGUAUUUAAUGUGUGUUGUGUGUUGUGUUGUUGAUGUCGAGUAUGGUUGAGAUUAUCCAUAUGCUAUAUGUUACUGUGAAUAUGAUGUUUGAACGGAUAUUGCCGUUGCUGAGUGCGUAGUCUGAUUAGGGUGAAUUGAUGUGUUAAUUACUUGCAUUACAUGUUGUUCUAUAAUGCUUAUUAUAUGAUUGAGGAACUCACCCUUACAUCUAUUUUUCAGGUAACGAGCAAUGAGUUGAGUAGAAGCUAGUGCUAUGGAGUCUAGUGUCGUCCUUAGUGGGUCAUGCUCUGGUAGAUGUAACAUCGGAGGGGAUGUUGAAUAUGUUUUAAUACAGUUGUUGAUCAACUUUACAUGCAAUGUAGUACUGCUUUGAAUGUCGAUGUUUUGUAUCCGCUGCGAAUUAUGCAAAAAGAGUCUUAUUUUGAUUAAAUAAAUGAGCAUAGACAGGGAUUAUUUUGAUAAAUGUUGUGAAAUGAUUGUGUGACACCCUUCGGGGCAUAAUUACUCUGAUUGAUAUGUUAUUAUUUUAAUUAAAUAUUUUGGGGUAUUUAGAAGGGUGUUACACCUAUGCCCAUUGAAGUGGCCAGAUGAAGAUGAAAGCAAGCAUGACAAUGGUCCCCAAAGCUCUCAAUCAUCAUAUAUGCCUCCCAAGUAUCUCAAUUUGUCAAUUUGAUCAAGAUAAACCAAAGGGCUUGAGGCUUGUUUCCCAAGGAAACCCUAAUUCAAUUGUGCAUUGACUGUGCCUUGCUCAUGAAGCAACCUCAACCUAUGAUCAAAAUGAAUCAAGGUAAGUUCUUUAAUUCAUCAUUUUAUGCAUAUAUGAACCUAUGUGAGUAUCCUCAAUCAUGCAUUCAUCAAGAUUUGAAGUUUGGACUUGAGAAGUUGACCAAUCAAUUCAUCUGACUAAAUUGAAAUCCACUGAGACCUAACUUUUGAUAUGUUUGUCAAAUGAUGAUUACCCCAAGAGAAAAAAUGUUCUUAAAAACCAUAUGAACAACUUUAAUGUUCAUCAAAAUUUCAUUUGAAACUUGGAAGGUCAUCAUUAAUUUCAAAACGUUAUAGGUCAUUUUGACUGAAACCCUAAUUUUAGGUCAACUUCCUAAGGACCUAGCUCCUUCAUUUUUUUUAUGAUUUUGAGGUGAGACCAAAUGAAUUGGAAAUUUUAAGACGUCUAAUUAAAUUGUUAUGUUGGACAAAAUUUCAUAAUCCUAAAAGAAGUACAUGUGAUAAUACAAAACAUUAUAGGUCACUUUGGACCAAAGCCAUUGAAUCUUGAAAAAGUCCAACUUCAAGUGCCCAUACCUUUCUCAUAAAAAAUCCAAAUGAUGCAACAUUUAAGUCCAAAUUUAUUGUGUUGAAAAUAUCUACAACUUUUAUGUUGGAGGUUUUUCCAUUUGAGGCUUUCAUCAUUAAAACGGAAGGGUUUGAAGUUGUUCAUUUUUGGCAAAAUUUUCAAAUACAUGUUUUGUACCUUGAACGUCAUGGCCAAUUUUCACAAUUUUCCAAACUCCAAAUGGAUUUUUGUUCAACAUAGAUUUUGUUCCUUAUGUCAAGGCCUUUCCAACCAUUACUCACAUGUCUAUGUUUGGAUUUUCCAAAUGGGAUUUUCGAAGAGGAGAACAAUUGUGACCAUUUAUGCCUUUCAUGUUAAAUCUUGAUACACAAGCCAUUGCCUUGCAAACUGCACGUCCAAUUCAACUUGGUUGAUGUUCAACAUUCAUUUGCAAUUGGUUUUGGGCCUCACAUGCGCCUGUACAGGCCCAUGCAUGCGAAGGACCCAAUUUCAUGCACGCGAGUUUACUCACACAUUCCUUGCAGUUGUGGCUAUAAAUAACAUGCUUGCCUCACUCAAAUCUCAACCUGAAGGCGCCUGAUCUCUGCUGAAUUCAUUUCCCAACCUCAUACCAAGGAAUUUUGAGUUUUCAUUUCAUUUUUCAAGUGUGAUUUUCAAAAACAUCAGUUGAUUAUCACACUAAUUCUAAGCCUAGCUCUCAUUCAUACAUCAAGAUCAGCUUGCAACCGCAAGAGGAUUGGUUGGAUCGAGCUCAUAAAAGUUGCACUACAAAGGUUUAUACCUCAACUGUUUUGCUUCGAAUCUCACUGAAUAUUGUGCAUUGCUUGUGUUGGUUUGGUUUUCUGAAUUCCUCAUGUGAGAGGCAAGCCAAUGUUGGCUUUAAUUUUGUGAAUUCUUGAACUUCAGAUCAAGUACCUGGAUUUUACAUCUCUGAUUUCUUCUUCCAUAGAGAUCUAGAGCACAAUCCAAGGUUACAGGGGUGAUGUACAUCACCCCAGUUUUAAUUUGGUAUAUGGAUCGUGAGUUUUGGUUGAGGUUGUAAAACCUGCAACUGUACAUCACCCCAGCUUUAAUUUGGUAUAUGGAUCGUGAGUUUUGGUUGAGGUUGUAAAACCUGCAACUGGUGGCCGAAUUAUUGAGCUCGCCGGAGAAGACGGUGGUUUCCACCACCGUCUCUUACGUGGAAGCCUCAUGUCCAUUGGAUAUAAGUGUUAUGAUCUAAUCCUGGCCUAGCAUUAUGUUUACCUUUUUAAAUACAACAUGUGAUGUUGUUAACUUGUCCACACCAUGCGCGCGCGUCUCAUGACCUUCUGAUCAGCCACGUCAAGUAAUGAAUCUUGAUCAGACGCUUGUGGAUUUUCCAGUUUUUAUUAAUUUUUUGUUUUAUUUUCUUUUAUUUCAUUUAUUUUCAAAAAUUCAUAACUUCUUUAUUUGAAAUCACAAAAAUAUGGGACCAAUUGCAAAAAAAAUCUCUUAAAUUCUAGUUUCAUAAAAUGAUUUUUAAUUAUUUUUGUGAUUCCAUUUAUUAUUUUUUGUGAAUUAUUUCAUUUUUGAUUGUUUUUAAUUCAUUUAAAAUACUUUUAGAUAUUCAAAAAUGCCAAAAAUAUUUUCUUAACAUCUUUGGAUAAUGAUAAGUCUAUGAAAAAUAUUCUCAUUAAUUUCUUAAUUGAUUUGAGAUUUAUUAGAGAUUUUAGUCCAAUUAUGUUAUUUUUCUUCAUUUUUAAUUGUUUAAAAUUAGUUUCUGUUUUCAAGAAAAUAUUGAGAAAAUUUGUCAAUCCUUGUUUGACCUUGUUAGACUUAUGAUGAUCCAAUUGGACUUAUGCAAGUUGAUUUGAAUUGGAUUUGAAGUUUGACCUUUAUUUGUUCAUUUUAUUUUAUGUAUUAUUUUAAUUCCAAAAAAUACCAAAAAUAUGUUUAACAUUUCUUGACUUCUAAUCUUCAUUUCACUUUUGUUUACCAUUGAUUAAUGUUGAUUCCAUUCAUGUUUGAUCAAUGUGUUUUGAUUAUGUCAUUUGAAUUUCCAUUUUGUACAUUCUAUCUUCAUCUCCUUUCUUCAUCUUUUUCUUUUGACCAAUGAGUUAAUGAUUUGUGGUUAGCCUUGACAUACGAGAGGCUUAACCUUCUUUAAUCCAAAUCAAAUUCAUCUUGAUCAAAGAUCAAGUUAAUUGCUUUGUGUCCAAGAUAGGUUGCUUCUUGGUCAAGCAAAGAACCUGAAAUCCAUACAAGGUCAUUCUUCUUUUCUUUUGGCAUGGCAAAUUGUAGGAGCUUGGCUUACUAGUCAUGAUCUCUAACUUGUGUUUAUUUACCUAUAGUUUUAUUGACCGGCCUCAGAUAGGUGUGACUACUACAUUAGUCCAUUUACGAUUGGUUAACAUAGCGCUAAAUUGCCUUAUGGCACACUAACAUUAACUACUAACACUAACUUUAAUUCAAGCAUUUAAUUCUUGCAAUUUACUUUAAUGCAGUUUAAUCUCUUGCUCAUUUAUUCAUAUUGUCUUUUCCCUUUGCUCAUUUUAGCUCAUGUUUAUGUUUAUGUCAUUUGCCUUUUGCUCACUUGAGCACAUUAUUGUGUAAAUAUACUAUUGCCUUGUGCUUGUUUUGUCUUUGUUUGUGUGAACCCAAUGCAAAAAGGAGAAAGGACUACCUUUUGCUCACUUGAGCACAUUAUUGUGUAAAUAUACUAUUGCCUUGUGCUUGUUUUGUCUUUGUUUGUGUGAACCCAAUGCAAAAAGGAGAAAGGACUUAGAAUUAGGACCUCACCUAUGCUUAAGGGAGUUCAAGAGCAGCUAGGCUUCAUGUCUUUAGAAUGCUAAGAUUGUUGAAGAGCAACUAGGCAUCAUGCCUUUAGAAUGCUUAAUCUUAAAGAUGAAUUAAAAGGACCCCUAAUUUAAACUCUCUCUUUGUCCAUUUCUAUUAUUGAAUUGUGGAACUUUUUUGAUUGUUUGUUCUUGUGUGAUAUGGAUCCCAAACUUGAGCUAGUUAGAAGGACCAUUAUCAUGAGCAUCCAAGUUAAGAGAGAUAAAGCCAAUUGAAAGCUCCUAGGAGCUUGAUUGAACAUUUGAUGGAUUGCUUGAGUAAUUGUUUGCUGCUUGUUAAGUCCAAAGGAAAGGAGAUCUUGAAUCAUCUUUAUGAUCUCAAGAAAGGAACUCCAAGGGUUUUAUUCUCUUCUCUUAUCAUUGCAUGUUUAGGACUAGCCCUUCUCUUCUUCUUUCCACUCUAACCCAAGCCAAACUCAUUUUUAUGCAAACAUUGACAUUGUUUUCAAAACUAGAAACCUAGGCCAUAUGCCUUUGAUUUUUCAAAAUCUUUUCAUUAAUACUUAUUUUGAAGUGAACCUUAAGUCAACUUUGACUUCAUUUUGUGAAUACUUCUAAUUUGUAAAUACAACUCAUUCAAGUUUGCUUUUUGUGGUUCCAAUGGCCACCUUUGUUAAAAACCUUUUUCAUAAACAUUAGCCAUAGGUUUGAGUUAUCACAGUGGUUGAUGUAAACCUCACCUCAUCCUUAGUGAUUGGACUAUAAGUCUUCCAUACUUAUUAUAGGGUGGAUCCCUCACUAGUAUGUUGAAGCUCUCCUCACAUGGUGGAUUGUUGGUUUAGGUUGAACUAUAAGUCUUCCAUACUUAUUAUAGGGUGGAUCCCUCACUAGUAUGUUGAAGCUCUCCUCACAUGGUGGAUUGUUGGUUUAGGUUGAGUUUUCUCCCUUUGAUAACAAAAGACCUUAAGGCUUCUGUCAAACCAAUUCACCAACUUAUUUUGAGAUUUUUACCCCGAACUACGAGGUUUUGAUCCUACCUUUGUGAUGGUACGUAGGCAAUGGGUUUAUCCAUUAAAACAAAAAAAAUUGUAAAUAAUUUGUAUAUUUUUUUCUCAUCCCCCCAAUCAUGUUUGCACAAAUAUUUUCACAAAUACCAACCUACAAUAUAACAUUUGCAAAAAGGGCUCCCUUAGAGUACUAAGGAUGUUUUGGGUGCUUAAAGCCUUCCCAUUGCAUAACCAACCCCCUUACCCAGAUCUCUGACAUUUUUAUUAAUUUUUUAUUUGAUAAAACUUAUCGGUUUUUGUUUGCUUUCUAACCUUUCCUUUGGAUAAAUAUAAGUGCGGUGGCGACUCGAAUUGUAGGAUUUACUUUUGAUUUAGUCAAUAAAUAUAUAGGUAACGAAUACCCCGCUACAAAAAAGUGGCGACUCUGCUGGGGACGGUCAUUUUCCUAGUGGGUUUAGCCUACUUUUUUGCCUUUGUUGUAUUGUAUGUUUAUAUUAUUUUUGACAUAUUUUUUGUGCAAAUUUGAGAUCACUGUAUUGAUUGUAAUGUAUGAAUUGCUUGAUAUAUUCAAUUGGUUGUGUGCUUGGUGGUCUCUUGUGAGAUGAGUUCUAUACCCGAACUCGAGUGCACUUACGAUAGGAGAAUGGCAUAGUCUUGUUGACUUGUGUGGAGUUAUUCCUUAGCAAGUUAAUUUGCAAGACUAUUCACUUGGUAGAGGUUAUGUUAGGAUCAAUAAUGUCACACGAGUAGUCGUGGUUAGGCAUUACUCUUUCCAAUAUAGACCUUAGAAGCCAAGAACCUUAGAUUACCUAGCCCAUCUUGACCUAUUUUAGGACGUAGUGCGAAUGCCGUUCAAGUGUAAGAUUUGAUACGAUUGUUACGCGAUACUACACUCAUAAGAGUCUCUCUUGAGAAUAUUUUUGGAAUAUGAGUAGUCGUUUAUCCGAUAAUAUUUGAAAGAUGAGAUGAUGACUAUGGGGACCUUUUUUUAGAACAUGAUUGUCAGGUUUAACCAUAGUACACUCCCA
rnacentral:lncRNA from 1 species